rnacentral:lncRNA from 1 species
UUUUUUUUUGGUGAAAGAAAAACAUUACGGAACUAAGUUACAUGAAAAGAAUGAGAGAUACAAAAAUUAUUUUCUUUUUCUGUUUUAAGAAAUGCUAAAGCGUCUUAUGGAAGGGCCUCAACCAGUUAUAAAUCCUGCUUUCUUUCAAAAGCCAAUUUGGCUAAAUAAUCAGCACUUUGAUUCUCCUCCCUAAGAAUGUAUCGUAAAGUCCAUUGACUUUCUUGGGACAAUAUGCAGUGUAUCCUUCCAAUCAGAGCAGAGUUUGACAUCUUUGAGACACUACCAUGUAUAGCUUUAACUAUCUCCAAGCUAUCCGAUUGAAUUACUAUUUUUGUAACAUAAACUAUUCACAUAUUAGAAACAAUGGUAAACUAUACAAAUAGUCAUCCAACUAUGUUCGCGUUCCUGUUUUGGUCACUCAAUUUUAAAAUUUUCAAUUUAGACACUAAACUUUGUAUUUGUUCCUAUUUUAGUCACCCGCCGUUAAAUUGAUAAUGAAAAACUUUUUUUCUAAAUGGUAUAAUAACUCAUUUAGUCCUCAAUACUUACGUAUUCUAUCAAUUUGAUUCUAAUUCUAAAUAAUUGAAUAAAUUUAACCCUUUCCAUUUACAAAUUCUAUCAGUUUGAUCUUCAAGCUUCUUAACCAAAGCUUUCAACUUUUAAAAUAGUGAGAUUCCAUAUCUAUUAAUUUGUAAAAACCCAAACAAACAAAACAAAAAUUCUUCAAAUUGUGCAAAUAUAACAACUUGUAGUAUAAAUAUUUGGCAUCACAUAAUACCAUGUCCAUUUCUCUACCACUCAACUUUUCAAUAAUAUCUCUUACUACGGAAUGCAUGCAUGUACAUAUUUUUGUCCAUUAAGAUUUUCUAAUCUAAAACUAUUCAAGAGCAAAUUAUAAUAAUAAACAUAAUCAAUAAAUCAUUAAAGGUAAUUAGUUAUAAUGUUUCCACUACACAAAACAUAAAAUUAAGAUGAUCAAGUUUUCUAUUUCAAUGCAAUUAAUCUUAAUUUAAAUUUUGCGUAAAUGUGAACUUAUUAUAAAAUUUAUUUUCAUUUAUGGUUUUGAAUAUUAGAUUUGAGAUAAAAAAAUACAAUUACUAAAUUAAAGAUUAUUAUUGAGUUUAGUAUUUCCACAAGUAAAAUAAAAAAGAUAAUUAUAUAAAUAUAUUUAAUAAAAUAAAAAAAAAAAGUAAAAAGUAAACUAAACAUGUGAUUUUUAUUUUAACUUAACUUAAAAAAAUUAAACUUUUUGGGUUUCAAAAAUUUAUAGACUUGAAAUGUCUCUAUUUUAAAAGUUGAAAGUUUUGGUUAAGAAGGUUGAUGAUCAAAUUGAUAAAAUUUGUAAAUAUGAAGGAAUUAAAUUUUUUAAAAUUAAAACUAGAUUAAUAGAAUAUGUAAGUAUUAAAGACUACAUGUGUUAUUAUACUAGUUAAAAAAAUUACACUAUUAUUUAUUUAUCAAUUAACUAGUUUUUUGUCAAAUAAAAAAUCAAUUAAGAGUAAAAUAAGAAUAGAUACUUAAAUUUAAAAUUUUAAAAAUUGCGAAGAGAGCAACAACCACAACUAUUAUUAAUUAUUAUUAUUAUUAUUAUUAUCGAUGAUGAUGAUCGUUGAAGAACUAAGUUUUUGGCCUCAGUAAGCUGCCUCGGAGAAACUAAGGUAGCAUAAAUUCAUGGACCACAAUUUUAAAGCUAAAAUAUUAAAAAGAACAUAACUUUAUAAUUGCAUCCGAAUAAAUAACUUUUGUUGUUGGAAAAAAAGGAAAAAAGAAGACAACUUUUGCGCUUUUAAAUUCUUUGAAAACUAAUAGCUUUUGAUUUUGAAUGUUGAUUAUUGUAUUUGAUUAAUGUUAGAAACAUGAUUUAACUUUUUUUUUCGAUUUUUUAUUCUUUUUUAACAUGGUACAAACAAACUAAUAACUAACAAUAUUUUGAAAUUUAAUAACUAAUAACUAAAUUUCUAAAAGAUAAUUUUUUUCAUGAAGAAACAUAGGUAUAGCCCUAAGUCCAAACAAAACAAGGAAACCAUAAGUCCAUCUAACUUGGAAACAACCAAAAAAGAAUGUGAUACUCUACAUCCAACCAAAUCAGAGGAUCUGGAUGCAAGACACCACAUUUGUUGUCAUAGCAACUCAAACAAACAUUUAAUAUAAUGAUCAAAGCUAUAAAUAUAUUAAGCGAUGCAUGUGAAAUAGACUUAAACAAACCCUUAUACAAUAAAGUAGGGGCAAUGACAUUAAAAAUUGGGACCAAGUUACGAAUCAUGAGUCAAACUAAAAAAAUGCAAGGCAAUGUCUCGAGAGACUGAAGCCAUGUCUCAAGACAUGCCUCGUUUGUAUCUCUAUUUUUGUUUUGAAAUUUGAAGUCUCAAUGUAAUACCCCAUAACCGACCUAGACGACAAGGCCAAGCCUAGAGAGUUACAAUGAAUGACAAUCAAAACACACUCUACAAGUUAUAUUGAAACUCCUUUAAAGUCAUAUAAAGUUUUAAUAAAGAUAAACUAGUACUUCGUGAUUAUCAUCCAACUAACUGAAACAAUGAAACCACUAACAUUAUUAAUAAUACUAAAUGGUGUAAAACGCAUACUCUCCAUCCACAGACUCGUUCAAGCUUAUGAUUUACUUGAAAUCCAUUCAACAAUAAUUGAAUUAAUAUAUCAGAAAGGAACCAACAAUUUACAUAUUCAAUAGGGUACUGGUAAAACUAAGAUAUCCAAGUGCAGAUGUUGAUUCAGAAUCACGAAACACUUCAUUCGAUUACAGAUCAAAAUCAUAGACAGAUAAAAAUUCAUACUGUAGUCAGUUGUAGAACAGAACAGAACAAAUGCAAUUACUUAAAACCAGCCGGUACACACCAUCUCCGACCCACCCAACACACCAAAUAGGGUAUUUAUUACUUUUCCAGCCCUACACACCACAUAGUGUCGGUCUGGCAUGUUUUAGAGAAUGCAGUCUAGCUGCUAGAUCAGAAAACAUAUACCAGUGAGUUAUCCACUGUUUCAAAACAGAAUACUUCCUCCUAAUUCAAUUCCAACCCGAUGUAUAUGUAGACUCCACAUGAGAGUUAAUAUAUAUUUUUAUGUGAAUACUCAAAUACCGCUCAUACUUGAAUACAUUAAAUCAAUUACAUUAACAUUAAUCAAACAUAAUACAUGCCGAUAAUCAAUACUCAGGGUUCAGAUCACAGAAUAUUAGUUUAUAUAGUUUAAUUCAGUUCAAACGGCCUCAUAGAAGGCUUGUAUUCAGUUCGAGCGAUGCUUGGGAUAUGGCAAAAUUUCGUAAGCUGGCCCACACACUAGUGUGGUCUCACACGACCUAAGUAACUGGCCCAUGUGGCCCCACAUAGCCUGGACAUGCUUGUGUGCUUGCCCGUGUGUCUCACACAGUCGUGUCCUCUGCCUGUGCGAUAAUUAUUUUGGAAAUAGUGAGCUACACGGCCUGGACACACGCCCGUCUCCUUUGUCUUUUUGAAUCCUGCACUAUUAAGGCCAUACACGGUCUAAACACACACUUGUUUCCUUUGCUUGUGUGGCUCUUACUUGGUGAAGAGUGAGUUACAUGGGCCACCACAUGUCCUGGUACACGGUCGUGUGGCGUCAACAACCAUUUUUUUUGACAUCCCGUAUUCUUAAAAACUCGGGUUUUCGGUACGUACCUGAAGAAAUUUCGAAGCUAGAAUAACAUAGAAGAUUCCUAAUACCUAAAACAAACAAUCCAUAAGCAAUUAAACGAUAAGUCGAAACAACACUAAGAUUAUCACACAACCAACCCCGUCGAAACCUUUUGACACAAGAAAAUCCUAAAUCGCGUAGUAAUUACCUCCGCACCACCGCAAUCACAAAUCUAGGAAAUUAAAGGGAUUGUUAUCUUCGAUACCCUCUCUUAAAGAACAAUAAUCGAACUUAUAAACAAAGGAUUCGUACAGUUUAAGCAAGAAGUCAAUUUUUUUGCCACUGUGCCAACAAUCAACAAUGGUUUUAGAAAUUGAACAACCAAACUAACAAAAUUAACGGAAACAAACUUACCCGAUAAUAGUAGCAAAUAAUAAGUAUGAAUCUAAGCCGACAUCGAAGAGGAAACAAAAAAGAAGAGAAGAAAAAUAAAAGAACAAAAGGAAAAAGAAAGUAAAUGAAAAGAGGAAGGAAAGAAGAACGUUUAAUUACUGUUUUAAAACUACCGAUCAGAAUUCUGACAAUUAACAAAAAUAUUUACAUACCAUGUACAUCGUGACUCGAGCACAAGACUAGUAAGGGAACAAAUACUUAACCAUUAAACCAGCAAACUCAUUCUUGACACAAAUUUACACAGAAUUGAACUUAAGCCAAUAAGUCAAGGAUAGAAGUUAGUUUAGAAUAAAAUAUCAAAAACUUUCUUAAGACAUGACUCGAACACUUAACCUCAAACAUAUAAAUAGAGCACAUAACCACAAACACAGAGACUUAAUUACUACAAAAUUCCACAAUUAAAAAUUUAAAUUUUAUGGCAUUACACUUAAGACAAUGGGACUAUGUCUCAAGACAUUAACCCCUAUGUCUCAAGACAAAGCCUUAUGUCUUUGAAACCCUAAGCUAAAGGAUCACUAAUUUGGCUUUGAUGUUUUAUGUCUCGAGACAAGGACUCCAUGUACCUAGAAAUCCAAGAAUUUCAAGUUUUUGUUCUUGAGGUAUCAAGACAUGUUCUUGAUGUAUCUAGAGACAAGCCCAGAAAUGUAGAAAAAAUAUAUUUAGUAUCAUGCCAUUGGCCUUCUAAAUGCAGCUAAACAUGCUCUUCAUGUAACCAAACUAUUCCAUACACAUUUAAUAUGUCAUAACUAAUUCAAAACAUGUAAUUUUACGACAUAUAACAUAUUAGAUCAAAAUUCCAUUUGGAAAGUAAAUUGCAACACUUAAGCUAUCAUUAAACCAUAACAAAAAGUACUCAAAAUUCAAUAUGUGAAGACAUGAAAGUUACCCAAGGAGCUAGGUACAUGCUACUUAUUACUAAAACAUCAAAGAGACAUCAAGAACUCUAGUAAGGAGUUGAGGAAUGAGCCUCUGGAUGUCGAGGAAACACGACAAAAUCUUGGGAGAUCACAAAAUACCUAUGCAUAGAAACAAACAAUCCACACGCCGAGCAUUGAAAAGCUUAGUGGUGCUAACAUAACCAAAAGCAUAAUAUAAAAAUAUUAAGUAACACAGUAUUUUGAUUAACAACAUGUUAUUGAUCAAUUAUACAUGCUUCACUAAUAUAUUAACAUUUAACAACAUCUGAAAAAUUUUGUUAAUAGUCGCUUAAGACAACCCCUCAAAUUGAAACCAUAUUAAUAUGUUCACUUCAUAAUGUCAUCAUAGCUUCAUAUUUAUACAACCUUUCAUAAUUCACACAUCCAUAUAAUCUUUUUAACCAAAAUUUAUAUUAAAUUUACAACCCCUCUUAACCAAAUAUGGAAUCAAGAAUGGAUACACGAAUUAAGCACUUACACUCUACAAUGAUGAGCAUAAGCACCAAAUAGACGUAAAAUCUCUAAUGUGUAAACACGUUCCCUUAACAUGCCACAAUAACACGAACAAGUCUCAAUAUGUAAAUAAGCGCACAAGUUCCCAGUAAAACUCACACAAGUGCCAAAUGUUUCCUAUAAUAAAAGUCAAAUUCUAUGGCAUGCUAAUUAUAUCUGAACUAUUUCCAAUAUUAUUUAAUAGGGAAUUUAGUGUUAAGACAUGUCUCAAGAACAUUGAUUAUUAUCAUUACUCAUCAUGAAUCAUCACAUAUAAUUUAAACAUAUCAUUGAUUUAUCCAUUCCACAAUAUGAUUACACAUUCACAUAGUAUCAUUUCAUUCAUAAUUAAAUCAUGGAUAAAGGAUAAUAUUUAAAUACAUAUUGUUCAACCAUAACAACAAUAGUGAUAACCUUAGCUAUAUCACUUAAUAAACUUAUACUAUGAAAUUGAAUUAAUCUAGCACAAAUCAAUAUCCAUAAAGCCAUAGUAACUUUUUCUUUCCCUUUAGCCUUUGAGGACUUGGCCACAUAUUUUGCUACAAAUAAGAAUUGAAACUUAUAAAACAUAAUUAGAAAAACAUAAUUAAGUAGAAAAUCACCUAAAACUAAACAUGAGAUGCAUUUUUAGCAAAAAUUGACAAUCUAAAGCUCUAAGCCUCUAACACUAGAUAAUUCUAAUGAAAAUUGUCUGAAAUUGAAAUCAAAUCUUAGAAUCGUUAAUAAGACCUCCAAAUUACUCCAAAUUAACCAAAAACACUAAAUCAAACACUUUCUUUCUCUAACGCACCUUAAGUACUCAACAAUGGCAUCUUAAGAAAACCUUAACCAAACUUCAUUCUAAUUUGAUUCUUAGUUAUCACACUCCAUUAUGAACUCAUACUUAACCAUAUUUAUGUUCAAAAGCAACAAGAAAUAAAGGAAUCAAACUCUCUCUCAUUAAUUUGAAAAAUGGUCAAUAUUAAAGAAAAAUAGAGAAAAAAAUCAAAAAUCAAGUUUCAAUGUUUAAAAUAAUAAUUUAAUGUUAGAAAACACUUUACUUUGUUGGAACAAUAUAGACUAAACGAAAGAAUAAAAAAAUGCUACUCCUCUAUCUUUCUAAAACCAAUCGUGAACUAAGAAGAAAAUAGAAAGAAAUGUUGAAAUUUAUACAGAUUAUAAGAGCCUUAAGUACCUCUUCACCCAAAAGGAGUUGAAUUUAAGGCAAAGGCGUUAGAUUGAACUUUUAAAGAUUAUGAUUUUGUGAUAGAGUAUCAUCAUGGCAAGGUGAAUGUUGUUGCUGACGCUUUGAGUAGAAAGUCGAUGACGAACUUGUAAGCUUUGUUUGCGUGCUUGAGUUUAGACAGUGAUGGUGGUUGUUAGCUAAACUUCAAGUGAAGCCAACUUUGUCUCAACAGAUUAAAGAGAAACAGAUUAAAGUUGCCGCCAGAAUUUGAGUGAAUCCAUGAUAUUUUCCAUGUAUCUAUGUUAUGGAAGUGUUGUUCAGAUCUGUCACUGAUCGGUUGUUUAACGUCACAAUAAUAAUGUGCAAGCACACACUGUCGAUGCAAGUAUAGUAGACAGAUGUGAGUCUGUUAGAUAUCGAUCCCACAGGGAUGGUAGACUUUUGUCUAUUAAUGUCGAGCAAUAACUAGAUAGAAACGAGAUAAAUUGUGAGAAUACUUGUGCAUGCAAUAACUUGAAAACAAUAAAAUAUAAGAUGAUAGUGAUAAAAUGGGAUCCAUAACAUGAAUCUUCAGCAGAAUACUAAGUGCUCACAAGGUAUAAAAAGAUAGGUGAUUGUCGAGGCAAUAAAAUUCAAUGUAUAUCUUACCCAAUGUCACUCCUCUAUUUAAUCUGAGACUUAAACAUGCAUACUAACCCCACCUUCUAAUGAUGGCAAUAUGACACUAUUAAGAACAAGUGGACUAAAUUCCUCUUAUACUCACUCAACUUCUAUUGUAAUGCUUGUUGGCUCAAACUAUCACUGCAUUUUCCAGUGUCAGUGACUGCAAUAACACUUCUGUGUUAAAAAACUUUUAAACCCCAAGAUUAAACAAUAAAAGCAAGAUUGAAUAAGAUAACAAUUCACCAAGAAUUCAUGUGUACUUCCAUACAAACAGAAAAGAGAGAGUAAUCACCAGCAUUUAAAAAGAAAUAAGAAAGUAAAGAAUUCUAUUCCUAGACAACUCGACUGAAUCUCUUCAUUCCCUCUUAUCUCACGCUUAGGUCUCCUCGUUAGAAGCUAGUCUGCAUCUGGUUUUCACGUUGGCUCACCCCUGAGAGGCUUAACCUGCCAUGGUCGUAAGCUUUAAGGUAGGAUGAUGAAGAUGAUGAUCAGGAAAAAAAAGCUCCCAUUUUCUUCUCACGUCACCUUUUAUGUCCUCAUCCAAUAGUAUAGGUGUCUUUUCUUCAGAAUUAUUCUAUUCUUGUACGUACAAGUUGGUAUACCAGACUCGAUAGCUCACGCAAUUUUAGUUCUUAUCUAGACAACUAUCAGGUACGGUGACAAUUCUGGACGCAAUCUGGAAUUAACUCAUGCAAUGACAUGAAUGCAAUAAGAUAGCAAAACUAAGGAUAAAAUAGGUUAGGAUUCACUGAGUUAUAAAAAGCAAUUUACUAAAGUGAAAAUGCUAAAAUAUAUGCUAAGGAUAACUAAAUGGGAACAAUUUAACCAAUAAGUAAGGGGGAAAACCUAUGUUCUUUCUAGUGCUAUCACACCCCCAAACUUGUGUUUUUACUUGUCCUCAAGUAUAAUAGAAACUAGCAAGGCUAAAGAAAUUUUUACUAAGGCAAAUGAUCAUUCUAGCAACUUAAACCCUCUCAAUUCCCAAUGGAUUAAUCACAUUCAAAUGAAAGAAUAUUGCAUCGACAAUUCAUAAGCAUGAAUGAAUAAGGUUUCAACUUCAUCAAUGCUAGCAUCAUGCUUCAAACCCUAAAUUCUAUCUACCAUUAUAGCAUUUAAUGUAAAAUACUAAUUAUUUAUAUAUUAUAUAUAUACAUUUUUUUCAGAAUAAGGGAUAUCGUUGCAUUAUUGUACCCUUGUCCCUGAAAAGUAACGAUGGAGUGCAACAAACCCCUAGGGAGUACGUAAUUACGCCGACACACACUCAUGCAGCGACAACCUUUGGCCAGAAUGAUUUUUUUAACGGUAGUAUUGGAGUGUUCCCUCUUUAACAUUCCAUACUACACCCACUUUAGAGUGUCUCUAAUUUAUAACUAUAAAUACAUAUGUAAGCAGUUGUAAAAAGAAUAUUCAUUCAAGAUUUAAGGAAUGAUAGCAGUCAUCCAUUACUAAUACAACCUAAUCCAUUCAUCAAAGAAUUGAAGCGAAACUUGGGUUACAAUUGUGUUUCAGUUCGACUUACAAGUGACAUGCUUUCCCAAAAAUCCAAUUGAUAUGCUGACAUCCCUAAUGGGGUUUUGUAUACUACUGCAAUGCCCAUAAGGCGUCAUCCAAUCGAAAAGACCAAUCUUUCCUUAAAUGGUUUACAACCUUCUCAAGAAUGUUCUUAAUUUUUCGAUCCGAAACUUCGACUUGUCUAUUGGUUUGCGGAUGAUAUGUAGUAGCCAUUCUAUGAUUAAUUCCAUAUCUCUUCCGUGCGGGUUCCACUUGGUUGCAAUGAAAGUGUGUACCCUGAUCACUAAUAAAAACCUUUUAUCUGCCAAAGCGAGUGAGUAUAUGCUUGUGAAAAAAUUUUAGCACUGUCUUUGCAUCAUUCUUUAGGACUGCAACAGCUUCAACCCACUUCAAGACAUAGUCAACAGCUACUCAUAUAUAAAGAUUUCCAAAUGAACUCGAAAAUGGUCCCACCCCAAAUAUUGAAUAAUUCAACAUCUAUAAUUGGCUACUGCACAAUUUCAUUACGUUGGGAUAUAUAACUAAUGCACUGACACCUAUCGCAUUGAUUCACAAAAUUAUAGGCGUCUUUGAAUAAUGUCAGCUAGUAGAAUCCUAAUUGGAUAACUUUAGCCGCAGUUCUUAUACCACCAAAAUUACAUCCAUAAGGAGCAUCAUGAUAAUGCUUUAGGAUUGAAAGCAUCUCCUUUUCCUGAACACAAUGUCGAAUGAGUUGUCAUUGCAUACCUUGAAUAAAUAUGGCUCGUUCCAAUGAUAAUUCACUACGUCACGAAGAAUAAUUUCUUUUUUAUGGCCUGUGACACCUAAUGAGAGUUUUCAACACACUAGAUAAUUAACAAAAUCCGCAUACCAAGGAGUUGCAUAUACAACAAAUAACUUCUCAUCUGGGAAGGUGUCGACGAUUUGAAGUAUGUUUCCAUCUUCACUACCAGCUUCUAAUCGAGAUAGAUGGUAUGCAACUUGAUUCUCUAAACCCUUAUGGUCUUUUAUCUCGAUGUCAAAUUCUUGCAAUUGUAACAUCCAACGUAUUAGUCUUGGUUUAGCAUCCUUUUUCGGAAAGAGAUAUCUCAAUGUCGAAUGAUCUGUGAAUACAGUAACCUUUGUACCGACAAGAUAGGAACAAAACUUGUCAAAAGCAAAGACUACAGCCAGCAAUUCUUUCUCUAUGAUGGUGUAGUUGAGUUGAGCCUCUGUAAGUGUUUUGCUAGCAUAAUAGAUGACGUGAAAUAUUUUUCCCUUUCGUUGUCCUAGAACCACACCCACAAUAAAGUCACUUGCAUUGCACAUAACUUUAAAAGGUUGAUACCAAUCUGGUACAACAAAAAUGGGUGCAUUCACUAGCUUUUUUUUAACUGAAUAAAGGCAUCCAGACAUGCAUCCUCAAAGAAGAAUUUUCGAUUCUGUUCCAACAAUGAGCAUAAGGGCUUUGCAUUUUUCAAAAAAUCUUUAAUAAACCUUUGGUAAAACCCCGUAUGUCCAAGAAAACAGAAAAUACCCCUCACGUUUGUUGCCAGAGGUAAUUUCUCAAUGAUUUCCACCUUAGCUUUGCCUACUUGAAUGCCUUGACUAGAGAUGCAGUGUCCUAACACAAUGCCUUCAGUUUCCAUGAAAUGAAAAUUUUCCCAAUUCAAGACAAGAUGUCUGUCCUCACAUCGCUUCAAUACUUUAUCCAAAUUGUCAGUGUAAUGAUCAAAAUCAUUCCCAUAGACUGAAAAGUCAUCCAUAAUCACCUACAAAGAGUCUUCGAUCAUAUUUGAGAAUAUUUCCAUCAUGCACCUUUAAAAUAUGGUUGGAGUGUUGCAAAGACCGAAAGGUAUACGGCAAAAAGUGAAAGUUCCAAAUGGGCAGGUGAAGGUUGUUUUCUCCUAAUCCUCUAGUGCAAUAGCAAAUUGAUUGUACCCAUAAUAGUUAUCUAGAAAGCAAUAAUAGGCCUUUCCAGCAAGCCGAUCCAACAUUUGGUCAAUGAAAGGAAGUGGGAAGUGAUCCUUUUUUGUAACUGCAUUAAAUUUGAGAUAAUCCAUACAAACUCACCAUCCCGUGGGAAUACAUGUAGGAAUUAAUACAUCCUUAUCAUUAUGCCACAGUGAUGCCACUCUUUUUAGGCACACAUUGCACUGGAAUUACCCAAUUACUAUCAAAAAUUGGGUAAAUAAUUCCAGCAUCAAGCCAUUUUAUGAUUUCCUUCUUGUCAACUUGCUUCAUCUUUUCGUUUAAUGUUCUUUGUUGUUCAACCGACUGCUUGCCUUUAUAUUCCAACUUAAUCUUAUGCAUGCAAAAAGGACUAAUACCUAAAUAUCGACAAUACUCCAAGCAAUAGCUCGUUUAUGUUGCUUGAGAAUGUGGACCAAUUUCUCUUCUUGAGUUACUUCUAGUGUUGUGGAGACAAUAACUAGGAGAGUAUUGUGAUCACCUAGAAAGACAUAUUUAAGAUGAGGAGUAGUGGUUUCAAUUCUAAAGUAGUAGCUUCUUCAAUAAAUGGUUUGAAAAUUGGGGUUGUUCUCUUGGCUAGGUCUAAGGAUUCAAUCUACCAUCGAUGCUUAAGUUUAAGAUUAUUAGCUUCAACCAUGUUGUCAUGAUCGUCUAAGGAUUCGACAUCAGAUGUCACUACAAACUUUUCAGAAAGUAAUGUGCUUUGGUCAUUGAAUUCUUCCUCAAUUAGAUCAUUUAGCACAUCGACAGUAUGACAUUCUUCUUUGUCCUUGCAUUGAAUAGAUUCAAAAACACUGAAGGUGACUUGCUCAUCAUUAAGUCACAUGGUUAUUUCACCUUUAUAAACAUCAAUAAGAGUUCGAAUGGUAGCUAAAAAUGGUCGUCCCAAUAUUAUGGGAACCUCCUUGUCUGCCUUGCAGUCAAGUAUGAUAAAAUCAACCGAAAAAACAAAUUUAUUCACACAAGCUAAAACUUCUUUUAUUUGCCCUUCAGGUUGAGCCAAAGAUCGAUUAGCUAGUAGUAAUGUCACUGCAAUAGACUUCAUGUGACUAAUUCCUAACUUUCUGAAAGUAGAUAAUGGCAUUAGGUUAAUGCUAGCUCCCAAGUUGCAUAAAGCCUUGCCUAAAUAAUGAUUGUCAAUUGAACAUGGGAUAGUAAAGCUCAUAGGAUCUUUCAAUUUAGAGGGAAACUUGUUUGUCAAAAUAACACUACAGCCUUCUGUGAGUGUAAUAGUUUCAAUAUCAAUGAACUUCUUCUUCUUGGAAAAGAGGUUUUUCAUAAAUUUCCCAUAACUCAGAAUUUGUACCAGAGUGUCCAAUAAAGGAAUGUUGAUCUGCAGUUGCUUCAGUGUGUCAAGGAAUUGCUGAUACUGGUUGUCCUACUCAUUCUUUCAGAAUCUUUCUAGAAAGGGUAAAGGUAGAGAUAUAUCUGCUUGCGCUAACAUCUUUGAUUGCGGCGACAGUUUUGAAGGUCAAACAUUAGGCAUAUGAGAGACAAUUCGUGGAACUUCUUGUUUGAUGCAUUGACAAACUCUUUAGAUUCAACCUUCUCACCAGUGAUCACUCCAUCCAUAUCUUGAGGUGCUACAGUAGAGUCGAUAAAGGAUUUUCCAGUUUGUUUACCACUCCUAAGAGUGAUAGCCUUACAAUUUUCUUUCCUUCUCAGACUAGGAUUUUUCGUGUCACUAGAUAAUAAGCUUGGUGGUCGAGUAUUCAGAUUUGAAGCAAGUUGUCCUAAUUGUGCCUCCAAAGCUCGAAUGGAAGAUGAAUUCCCUUGUAUGGUAGCUUCCGUGCGAGUAAUAUGCUCCCGCAUUAACAUCUCAAGAGUUGCUAAAGGGUCAGAAGUAGAAGCUUGAGUUUACGGUUGCUGUCGAUGUCCUUGAACAUGCUGAUUUGGUAUUGAAAGUGUUGUGGCUGCAUCAAAUUUUGGUGUGGAUGUAUCUGGCCUUGUUGUAGAUGCAUUUGAGUGUGCUAAUUGUAGUUUUGCUAUUGUUGAUUGGAAUUCCCUUGUUUGGGAUUAUAAUUUCCUUGAGUAGAUGUAUUUUCAUAUCUGAGUGUCGCAGCAUUUUGUCCACCAUUCUGAGUUCCCCAAAACUGUUGGUUGCGUGCAAAAUUGUUGUAAGAGUUACCAUAAGAAUUGUUGCGGAUGUUACUAAUAUAACAACCAUUGUCUGCAUGUUGUGGGCAAUCUUCAUAGCUACGGUUGUCACUACAAAUUUCACAACAAAAAGCAAGAACAUCAACUUGCUGAGUGACUUGUAUAGGUGCAACACCACUAGUCCCUUGCAUAUUUUUAAUCAUAUUUGUGAAAGAAGAAGCUUAAGCACUUAGUGCGGUUAUUGCAUCCAAUUCAAUAACUCCUAUAGUAGUUUUUGCUUGUGCAGCUCUGGAGAUAGGGUAUUGAUAAUCAUUCUGAGAAAUUCUCUUGAGAAUUCUUACAGCAUCAUUAUAAGUACAAUCCAGUAGAGGUCCAUUGGCUGAUGCGUCGAAAAAAUUCCUUGUAUGUGAAUUCAACCCAUUAUAAAAAUUAUCAAUUUGUGUUUCUGGUUGAAUGUUCUGCAUAGGACAACGUCAAAGUAAAGAUUUAUAAUGUUCUCAUGUGGUGUGAUGAUUUUCAUCAUCCAAUUGAUGAUAAGCAAUAAUAUUAUUUCGAAGACGAGCAGUCAUUGUCAACGGGUUAAAUCGCAAAACAAACUGUGUUGCUAGUGCAUCCUAAGAAGUAAUUGAUCCAGUAGGUAGCCCAAAAAACCAAGUACGGGCUAUUCCCUGUAAGGAAUAAGGAAAUAAUUGCAUCUUCAAGGCAUCAUCAAGAACGCCUUGUUGACUAAAGGAAGCACAGAUCAAUAAAAAGGAUUUAAGAUGUUCUCUCAUAUCUUCAUGUGGCAGUCCAACAUAUUGUCCAUUAGAAUUUAGCAUUUGAAACAUUACUGGCUUGAGUUCAAAAUUCCCAACUUGGAUUGCUGACCUAACAACUCGUAGUUGUAAAUCAUCCAAAACAGGUAUUAUAAAAUCUCAUAUAGUCCUAUUUUGUAUGCGAGCAUCUUGCAACAACAAUGGGUUAUUAACAUUUUCUAUUGCAUCGGGGGUAUAGCUACAUUGUUCCCUGGUACAGCCAUAUUUCUUUGUUCUCGAAGUCUACUCCGAACAAUUCUUUCAAUUUUUAGAUCAAAAUCGGUAAGAAAAUCUGACUUGUUUCGGGUCAUAAAACACCUGAAUUGAAGUUAAAGAAUUAGCAACAAAGAAAAACCAAUUAGUGAAUACUAAAUAUUAUAUAAGGAAAAUAAAGUGCAAAAACACAUAAAAACAAUAAUAAACAUCAAACAAACGUCAUUUCCGGCAACGGCACCAAAAACUUGAUUGGUUGUUUAAUGUCACAGCAAUAAUGUGCAAGCGUACACUGUUAAUGCAAGUAAAGUAGACAGAUGUGAGUCUGUCGAAUAUCGAUCCCGCAAGGAUGGUAGUCUUUUCUCUAUUAAUGUCGGUGCAACAACUAGAUAGGAACGAGAUAAAUUGUGAGAAUAGUUGUUGAUGCAAUAACUUACAAACAAUAAAAUAAAAUAUGAUAAUGAUAAACUGGGAUCCCUAACAUGAAUCUUCAGCAGAAUACUAAGUGCUCACAAGGAAUAAAAAGAUAGGUGAUUGUCGAGGCAAUAAAAUUCAAUGUAUAUCUUACCCAGCAUCACUCCUCUAUUAGGAACGAGUAGGCUAAAUUCCUCUAAUCCUCACUCAACUUCCAUUGUAAUGCUUGUUGGCUCAAACUAUCACUACACUUUCUAGUGUCAAUGACUGCAAUAGCACUUCCAUGUUAAAAAAAUUUCAAACCCCAAGAUUAAAUAAUAAAAGCAAGAUUGAAUAAGAUAACAUUUCCCCAAGAAUUCAUGUGUACUUCCAUAGAAACAGAAAACAGAGAGUAAUCACCAGCAUUUAGAAAGAAAUAAGAAAGAAUUAAGUGGAGAAUUCUAUUUCUAGACAACUCGACUGAAUCUCUGUAUUCCCUCUUGUCUCGCACUUAGGUCUCUUCGUCAAAAGCUAGUCUCGUUGGCUUACCCGUGAGAGGCUUAAGCUACCAUGACCGCAAGCUUCAAGGUAGGAUGAUGAAUACGAUGAUUUGAAAAAAAAACUCUAUUUUUCUUCUCACGUCCACCUUUUACGUCCUCCUCCAACAGUCCAGGUGUCCUUUCCUCACAAUUAUUUUGUCCUUCUACGUACAGGUUGGUUGUACCAGACUGGAUAGCUCACGCAAUUUUAGUUCUUAUCCAGAUAGCUUUUAAGUGCGGCGAAAAUUCUGGACGCAAUCUAGAAUUAACUCAUGCAGCGACAUUAAUGCAAUAAGAUAACAAAAGUAAAGAUAAAAUAGGCUAGGAUUCACUGAGUUGUAAAAUACAAUUUACUAAACUAAAAAUUCUAAAAUAUAUGCUAAGGAUAACUAAAUGGGAACAAUUUAACCAAUAAGUAAGGUGAAAAACCUAUGUUCUUUCUAGUGCUAUUAGUCGCACAUUGUGCCAAUGGAGGAGAUUGAAGUUCAAACUAAUCUCACUUAUGAGGAAGAAUCGAUUAAGAUUCUAGCUUGCUAACCUCCCCCAAACAUACCAACAUCUAGAGUAGAAAUCCUGCACAAAAGAUGUGGAAAAACAGCAUCCGCAAGUAUACAAGUCAAGUUCUAAUAUAGUUACAAUGGGGUAGGUAAGUACUCCGAGGUGUUAGAGUAUGCCCAAAGAUCAAUCAUGAGAUAGUUGUAAUAACAUACUUGAUUUAUCAUGUUUAUUAAUAUAAGGCGUUACCAUUAUUAUUUCAGUUUCUUUUCUGUGUGUUUAAAUAAAUUGUUUUAUAAUAAUGUCCUGAGAAUAAUAUGAUUAUUCUUAAAAGGUCCUUAGUCAAGUAUUAUUGUAGGCUAGGACAACAAUAAUGCAUUAACACUAACAUGUAGUUGAUUGAUGAUAAAGAGUUGUCAUUGAUAUGGAGUGUCAAAAUCAAUGCAUGAAUAUGUAUGUUAAAGAACAACAUAUUGGACUGACCUAUUAUGAGUAUGUUUCUUAGAUUAUUAUGUAAUUGUCACAACAUUACUCAUAAUGAUUAAUAUGUAUAUGAUCCUCAGACUUAAGAUCAUCAUUAUCCCAACAUAGUGUGUUGUAUAUUUUGAUACAGUCAAACGUAUACCGUAACUGGUUGUUCUAUAAAGGCUGAUGUAGGAUAUACCAUGAUCUAUGUCGAGGGAUAUGGUUGAUCAAUAUAGGAUAGGUCCCUCCUACAUAAUCGGAGUAAUAUCUUAGGCCACUUGAUUGAGUGAGAUUAGAAAUGCAUGGCCAUGCUCAAAUAAGAUGAUAUGAGAUGUCGUACUUAUUUGUAUAUCAUAGUCUACUCAAGAUAUCAAGGAACAUGGGAUGGACUAUGCAAGUGUGACUAUUCCAUGACUUGUGUCCAGCCUAGAGAUAAAGGACUUAAGGAUUAAUGCAUGAAAGGUUAAUCGCAAAAAGGUUAUGUCGAAUCAUGAUUUCUUGUGACUUAGGUAGCAAUGAUGCAUUGCUAGGUGCCACUCAUUGUUUGUAACAUUAGAAUCGUUCUAAUAUUACUGCUAACGUUACAAGAACCUACAGGGACACACCCUAUAGUUGAAAUGAACGGAAUAAAACAUAGUUGGUAUUAUUUUUGGUUGUCGCUUGAAUUAAAUUAAUUAUAGAAUUAAUUUAAUUGGGAAAUAAAAUAUCAAAAACAUUAUAUGUACAAGGUUGUUGUACACAUAAUGAGAACGUUGUUAUAUUUAUUUAAUUUUGGGUUCGUAUAUAAAUUCAAAUAAAUAUAUAGUUUACCGAAAUCAUUAUUACAAUUAAUGUAAUUAUAAUUUUCGGUUUAAAAAUAAUAUAUUUAUUUAAUUUUGAAAACCCUAAAAAAGAGAUAUAAAAAAUCUCGUUUUCUUUGCUUGGUGAGUCUCGCAGCCGUCAAAGCAAAGUCUUCUCCAAAACUGUUUGAGGAUUCCUUCCAUUCAUAGUCAAUUGGGUGGAUUACGUGGAGGUCGGAGUCAUCAAAGAUUGUGACUUGGUUCGACAGUAGAUCUAAUUACUCAUUGCUGAGGCGUCGCUAUCUACUCAGAAUCACAUUCAGUAAUUUCGAAACCCUUUUUCACCCCGAUUCGUUCCUCACACUUGGAUCCAUGGUUCGGAUCACCAGGUGUUUUAUUUUUCUGCUACGCCGUAGGGGUGUCGGCUUUCCAACAGUGGUAUCAGAUCCAUUUGUGUGAUACGGACUCGAGUUUAAAUACUUGGGUGAUGUAAUUGUAUGAGAUGCAUGCUUUAAUUUCAUUAAAUUUCUAACUGUUUCAAUCGUUUAAAAGUAAUCUGUUAACCAUUUCUUUUGACAAUGGAUUAAAUGUUAAUAGUGUGUUAUGGCCUAUUUGGUUUUAUGUUAUUACUGUUAAGUGUUAAUAGAUCUAUAAUGGUGCGACAGUGGUGUUGACAGUUUCCAGUAAGAGUUAACUGGUUAGUGGAACAAGGGUUGUUCCGGCAUGAAAUGUCAGGGAUUAAAAUCCCAAAAACACGAUUCUAUUGAUAAAAUUUAUCAAAUCGUGAAGUUUCAUUUGAAUGGGGUAUGUGGUUCAGCCCGCUUUCUCUGCCGCCUCAGCCCCAUCUUCUUAAAGUAUGUUUUAUAAUAAAUAAAACUUGGUGCGCCAUAAAAUUUGAAAGGAUAUGUCAUAAUUCACCUUAACAAAAGUGUUUAAUUAUGUAUGCUAUUUUUGACAUGCACGGUGUUUGAAAUGCAUAGUUAUAGCCCAACGGCCCAUUUGAUAAAAGGUUGUAAUUUUAUAAAUACAAUAUGCGUGUCGUGCCUUACUACUAUUCUCUUGUAUUUCUCUUCUCAUCUUACUCCCUUGUAUGUAAAACGAGUUUCUGCAUAUUGUAAUUUACAAGAGUUGCCGUGGGCUAGUCGAGAAGGAAGAUGGGUCAACCAGUAUGGACUGAUAGCUUGAAAACCGGCUUACACCUUUAGGUUUCCUUUUGGUUCUCCCAUUGGCUUGGGUUGCUCCACCUUAGUUUAUGGGCUAUAACUAUUGCAUUUAUUUAUAGCUUUAUUCAUGUAUGAAAUGCUAUGGAUGUCUAAAGCAUGCCAAAUUUUAAAUAUGUUAAAAUUUUAUAAUAAUAAACCACAUUAAUUGAUGAGAUCAAUUAAAUGGCUAAAUGGACUAAAAUAAACCAUAAUUGGUGAGAUGGAAUGAUCUUAAUAAAAUCUCUCUAUUAAAAUAUUAAGUCAACAUAGCCUUCCAAUUUUACCCUCAUUAAGGCCUCGAUCAAUACUGUGUAGGUUCUGCUAAAGCGAAGUACUAGUAUUUAUCUUAGUUAAACGCGAAGAAUAAAAGUGAUAUUCGCAGGUUAAAAUUGGUUAAUGACUUAACUAGGUUAUUCUAAUAGGAUUAGAAACCUAGAGGCAAGUAAUUUGGAUAAAUCAUAAGAUGAUUAGAACAAGAGUUGUUCACCAAAAGUUAGGAGUUACAUAUGAUGUAAUUAGCAAGUGUUGCUUACCUAGAUAACCAUAAUCUUGAGAGUAAAGCCAAAGCUGACUUAAGAGGAGGUGAAAUAUGGAUCCUUAACCCACUUGAAAUACUUUUCGAGAAAGUCUUUUCGAAACUAAUAUAUGAGCGUAUUAGUUUUGUAAUAAAAUAGUGGAAACAUAAUUUAAUUAAGUCCUUUUAAUGAUUGAUAUAAAUUUGAUAAAUUUUCACACGCAUAAUUUUAUUGUUGUAGAUAUAUUAUGGCUGCAAACACUAAUACACUCUCAUUGCAAUCGGUCCUUGAGAAGGACAAAUUGAAUGGUUUAAAUUUUCUUGACUGGUUCCGUAACUUGAGGAUUGUCCUCAAACAAGAACGAAAAUUAUAUGUCAUUGAACAACCAGUUCCUAACGAACCACCCGCUAAUGCCUCGAGGGCUGAUAAAGAUGCUUACAAGAAGCAUCUGAUGACAUGGUAGACGUUGGAUGUCUUAUGCUUGCCACUAUGAAUCCUAAGCUUCAGAAGCAACAUAAGGACAUGGUUGCUUAUGAAAUGAUUGAGCACCUGAAAAAACUUUAUCAGGGGCAAGCACGGCAAGAGAGAUUCGAUAUCUCUAAGGCCCUAUUCCAAUGUAAGCUGGCUGAAGGAAGCCCAGUAGGACCUCAUGUCCUUAAGAAGAUUGGCUAUAUUGAAAGCCUGUCUAAGCUUGGGUUUCCAUUGAGCCAAGAUUUGGCCACUGAUGUUAUUCUACAAUCGUUUCCGGAUAGCUACAGCCAGUUUGUCCUUAAUUUCAAUAUGAAUGAAAUUGAGCCACAGUUGCUCAGCAUGUUACGAACUGAUGAAGGCAACAUGAAAAAGGUUGGACCCAAGCUUAUACUGAUGGUCCAUAAUAACAAAGGCAAGGGAAAGGCCAAAGUUUAGACAAAGCCCAAGGGCAAAGUUAGGCCCAAGCCUGGAAAAGUAAAGGCUGCAUUGAAACCUAAAGGUGGGGUGGCUAAGGAAGGAAACUGUUUUCAUUAUGGUGUAACUGGACAUUGGAAGCGGAACUGCCCUAUCUAUCUUGAAGAAGUCAAGAAGGCCAAAAUAAGCGGAACGUCUGCUUCAAGUAUUUAUGUUAUUGAUAUUAAUUUAUCAACUACUACUUCAUGGGUAUUAGAUACUGGUUGUGGUUCUCACAUUUUUACUUCUAUACAGGGACUGCAAAGGAGUAGGACUUUGGCUAGAGGAGAUGUAGACCUAUGAGUUGGAAAUUGAGCAAAAGUUGUUGCAUUAGUUAUGGGAACAUAUAAAAUAUCUUUGCCUAGUGGACUUGGUUUAUGUUUAGAGGAUUGUUAUUAUGUGUCCAGUUUAACUAAAAACAUUAUUUCAGUUUCUUGUUUAGACAAAAUUGGUUUUGAGAUAAUUAUUAAGAAUAAUUGUUGUUCCUUUUAUCUCAAUAAUGUUUUCUAUGGUUCGGCACAAUUGAUUAAUGGCCUCUAUAUUUUAGAUCAAAUGAAUCCUAUUUACAACAUAAAUACUAAAAGAUCAAAAAUAAAUUACUCAAAUCAAACUUAUCUAUGGCAUUGUCGUUUGGGCCACAUAAGUGAGAAACGCAUAUCCAAACUCCAUAAAGAUGGUCUCUUGGAUUUAUUUAUUUUUGAAAAAUUUGAAGUAUGUGAAUCUUGCUUAGUGGGAAAAAUGACUAAAACUCCUUUUACUGGUAAAAGUGAACGAGCUAGUGAUUUAUUGGGCCUAAUACAUUCUGAUGUAUGUGGGCCAAUAAAUACACAGGCUAGAGGAGGAUUUCACUACUUUAUUACUUUCACUGAUGAUUUCAGUAGAUAUGGGUAUGUCUAUCUCAUGCGUCAUAAGUCUGAAUCCCUUGAAAAGUUCAAGGAAUUCAAAAAUGAAGUACAAAAUCAACUAGGAAAAACUAUCAAGACAUUCGAUAUGAUCGAGGUGGGGAGUAUUUGAGCUUAGAGUUUGAUGAUCUUUUGAAGCAAUGUGGGAUUGUCUCACAACUUACUCCUCCUGGUACUCCUCAAUGGAAUAGAGUUUCUAAGAGAAGAAAUUGAACUUUGUUAGACAUGGUUCGAUCCAUGAUGAGUCAUGCUGAUCUAUCGACUUCCUUUUGGGGACAUGCACUUGAGACAGCUGCUUUCACACUAAAUUGUGUUCCAUCUAAAUCGGUUCAAAAGACGCCAUAUGAGAUGUGGACUGGGAAACGUCUCAGUAUGUCUUUUAUGAAAAUUUGGGGUUGCGAAGCUUAUGUUAAACGUCAAACGUCUACUAAGCUUGAACCUAAAUCUGAAAAAUGUGUUUUUGUGGGGUAUCCAAAAGAAACCAAAGGAUAUUAUUUCUUUAAUCCCACUAAGAACAAAAUACUUGUUGCUCGGGCUGGUGUCUUCCUAGAGAGAGAAUUUGUUUCUAGAAAAGGAAAUGGGAAAAAGAUUGAACUUUAAGAACUUUGAGAAUCACAAAAUACCACUAAACCAGAGAUAGAACAACAGCAAGUUCCACAAAGGAUUGAGGAACAAGUAACUGCUGUAGAAACACAACCAUCGCGUAGAUCUUUAAGAGAACGCCAAGCACCUGAGAGAUAUGGAUUUCUCAUUACAACGCAUGGUGACAUUCUACUUAUAGAUCAAGAUGAUCCUAGGACUUAUCAAGAAGCGGUGAUGAACCCAGACUCUAAGAAAUGGCUUGGGGCCAUGAGAUCUGAGAUGGAUUCCAUGUAUGAAAACCAAGUAUGGAACCCAGAGGUUAAACCCAUAGGGUACAAGUGGGUUUCCAAAAAGAAAAUCGACAUGGAUGGUAAUGUACAAACAUACAAGGGGCGAUUAGUCGCUAAAAGUUUUCACCAAGUUCAUGGUAUUGACUAUGAUGAAACGUUUUCUCCUGUAGCUAUGUUUAAACCAUCAGGAUCUUGCUCGCUAUAGCUGCAUUUCAUGACUAUGAAAUCUGGUAGAUGGACGUCAAAAUAGCUUUCCUUAAUGGGAAACUUGAAGAGGAUGUGUACAUGACAUAACCUGAAGGUUUUGUCAAUCCAAAGGAUGCUAGAAAGGUAUGUAAGCUACAAAGAUACAUUUAUGGAUUAAAGCAAGCUUCUCGAAGUUGGAAUCUUCAUUUUAACGAUGCAAUCAAAGAGUUUGGUUUUAUCAAAAAUGAAGAUGAGCCAUGUGUUUAAAAGAAAGUUAGUGGGAGCACUUUAACAUUCUUGGUACUGUAUGUAGAUGACAAACUUAUCAUAGGAAAUGAAAUACCUACCUUGCAGUCUAUUAAGACUUGGUUAGGAAUUUGUUUUUCUAUGAAGGUCUUGGGCGAAGCUACUUACAUCUUAGGAGUAAAGAUCUAUAGAGAUAGAUCAAGAUGACUACUAGGUCUAAGCCAAAGUACAUACAUAGAUAAAGUACUGAAAAGGUUCAGUAUGGAAGAAUCUAAGAGAGGAUUCCUACCUAUGAGACAUGGUAUUUCACUCACGAAGAAAAUGUGUCCUUCAACUCCACAAGAGAGAGAAUGCAUGAGUAAAAUUCCAUAUGCUUCCUCUAUUAGAUCUAUCAUGUAUGCCAUGUUAUGUACCCGUCCAAAUGUCUCAUAUGCCUUAAGUAUGACGAGCAGAUACCAAGUAGAUCCCAGUGAAGGUUACUGGACCACAGUCAAGAAUAUCCUUAAGUACUUAAGAAAAACUAAGGAUACGUUCCUAAUAUAUGGAGGUGAGAAAGAGUUAAGUGUAAAAGGUUACACUGAUGAUAGCUUCCAAACCGAUAAUGACGAUUCUCGAUCACAAUCAGCUUUUGUGUUUUGCCUUAAUGGUGGUGCUAUGAGCUGGAAGAGUUCAAAGCAAAGUACAAUAGCCGAUUCUACAAUGGAGGGCAAGUAUAUUGCAGCCAGUGAGGCAGCAAAAGAAGCGGUUUGGAUCAAAAAGUUCAUUACUGAACUAGAGGUUGUGCCUAGCAUAUCAGAUGCUAUAGAACUCUGAUGUGAUAACAAUGGAGCCAUUUCACAAGCUAAAGAACCUAGAUCUCACCAGUGAUCUAAACAUAUACUUAGGCGCUACCAUCUUAUUCGAGAGAUUAUCGAUCGAGAGGAUGUAGAGAUAUGCAGAGUACCUACAGAUAAUAACAUUGCUGAUCCCUUGACCAAGCCUCUGACACAGCAGAAGCAUGAUCGUCACACUAAGUCACUUGGUAUUAGAUAUAUGAGUGAUUGGUCUUAGUGCUAGUGGGAGAUUGUUAGAGUAUGCCCAAAGAUCAAUCAUGAGAUGGUUGUAAUAACAUACUUGAUUUAUCAUGUUUAUUAAUAUAAGGCAUUACCAUUAUUAUUCAGUUUCUUUUCUGUGUGUUUAAAUAAACUGUUUUAUAAUAAUGUCCUGAGAAUAAUAUGAUUAUUCUUAAAAGGUCCUUAGUCAAGUAUUAUUGUAGGCUAGGACAACAAUAAUGCAUUAACACUAACAUGUAGUUGAUUGAUGAUAAAGAGUUGUCAUUGAUAUGGAGUGUCAAAAUCAAUGCAUGAAUAUGUAUGUUAAAGAACAAAAUAUUGGACUGGCCCAUUAUGAGUAUGUUUCUUGGAUUAUUAUGUAAUUGUCACAACAUUACUCAUAGUGAUUAAAUCUAUAUGAUCCUCAGACUUGAGAUCAUCAUUAUCCCAACAUAGUGUGUUGUAUAUUUUGAUACAGUCAAACGUACACCGUAACUGGUUGUUCUAUAAAAGCUAAUGUUGGAUAUACCACGAUCUAUGUCGAGGGAUAUGGUUGAUCAAUAUAGGAUAGGUCCCUCCUACAUAAUGGGAGUAAUAUCUUAGGCCACUUGAUUGAGUGAGAUUAGUUAUGCAUGGUCAUGCUCAAAUAAGAUGAUAUGAGAUGUCGUACUUAUUUGUAUAUCAUAGUCUACUCAAGAUAUCAAGGAACAUGGGAUGGACUAUGCAAGUGUGACUAUUCCAUGACUUGUGUACAACCCAGAGAUAAAGGACUUAAGGAUUAAUGCAUGAAAGGUUAAUCGCAAAAAGGUUAUGUCGAAUCAUGAUUUCUUGUGACUUAGGUAGCAAUGAUGCAUUGCUAGGUGCCACUCAUUGUUUGUAACAUUGGAAUCGUUCUAAUAUUACUGCUAACGUUACAAGAACCUACAGGGUCACACCCUAUAGUUGAAAUGAACGGAAUAAAACAUAGUUGGUAUUAUGUUUGGUUGUCGCUUGAAUUAAAUUAAUUAUAGAAUUAAUUUAAUUGGGAAAUAAAAUAUCAAAUACAUUAUAUGUACAAGGUUAUUGUACACAUAAUGAGAACGUUGUUAUAUUUAUUUAAUUUUGGGUUCGUAUAUAAAUUCAAAUAAAUAUAUAGUUUACCGAAAUCAUUAUUAUAAUUAAUGUAAUUAUAAUUUUCGGUUUAAAAUUAAUAUAUUUAUUUAAUUUUGAAAACCCUAAAAAAGAGAUAUAAAAAAUCUCGUUUUAUUUGCUUGGUGAGUCUAGCAGCCGUCAAAGCAAAGUCUUCUCCAAAACUAUUUGGGGAUUCCUUCCGUUCAUAGUCAACUGGGUGGAUUACAUAGAGGUCGGAGUCAUCAAAGAAUGCGACUUGGUUCGACAGUAGAUCUAAUUACUCAUUGCCGAGGCGUCGUUGUCUACUCAGAAUCAUAUUCGGUAAUUUCGAAACCCUUUUUCACCCCGAUUCGUUCCUCACACUUGGAUCCAUGGUUAGGAUCGUCUGGUUUUUAUUUUUCCGCUGCGCCGUAGGGGUGCCGGCGUUGCAACACGAGAAUCAUACCCAAGGUUGUGAGCACUAAAUUAAUCUUAACUUAAACAUAACUAAAUCUAAUUAAUACUUUAAUCAGGUUAUAGUACGAAUAAUUUAAAGAAGAGUUUUUUAUAAAUUAUUUUAAUAAUAGGUAAGAACAUAAAAGAAAACUGAGUAAAUGAAAAACAAGAAAUCAAAUAAGAAAAUAUAUGCCAAAUCUGGCAUGGAUGACUAGCUCGCUUUUGUAAUUCCAACCAACUAUUGUCUCUGGCUUUCUUUUUCAAUCAACUAGCAAAUAUCCCAGCAAGAUCUUCUGAUAUGUCCAUUAAAAUAUUGAGUCGGUAGGGACAACUUAUCUUCCUACCUCACAGUCUAAACCGAUUCAGGGUUAAUGUGUUCACAUAUAGGCCAUACCAAAUUUGGGUUAAUUCCUAUCUUGAUGAAUUCCUAGGAUUGUCUGGCCAAGGGUUUAGGUUCUUCUUGUCUUGAACAACUAAUCCUUUAAGAAAUCACUACAAAAUAUUAAUUAUUCAUACCUUCACUCGCUAAUCCUCCAUAGGAGGAGUACUUCUUCAUGGAUCUAGUAAACAAUCUAAACUUGAAUGAAAUAUUGAACAUAAAGAACAGUUUUAAGAAUAAACUUUAGAAGAAGCCUGGUUGUAUUGAAUUUAAGCGCAGAAUCCUCACAGAGUUUGAGAAUAAUUUCAUAAUCUGAUUUCUCCCCAAAAAAUCAAUAACAAGAAAGCAAUAAAAUCUAAAACCUAAGAAAAAAAACUAAAGACUAAAACUAAAGAGAAAAUUAUAUAAUAGAAAGAGAUUUCCAUAACAUGUGUUAGGUAAGCCUAUUUAUAGAUUUAGGAUGGUCGUCGUCCUUCACCCUAGGUCAACUAACAUUCUCAAGCUUAAAGUUGGAUUGUGCUGACCAAAAUGCCCCUAACUCGUAUUAAUUUCCAGUGCAGAGGUGAUGUCACAACACACCAAGUCCUGUGUCGUGACAUCAAGGGCAAUAUGUUCAGCCUCAGGGUGUCUUCAAGGGUAUAUCACAACAUUGAAGGAAGUCUGGGGCUUCUUUAGUUCUACUCCCUAUGUUGUGACAUCUAAUGCUCUGUGUUGCAACCUGGCUACUAGUAUUGAGUUAAUACACCUUAUAAUGGUCCCAUACACACUCAGUAAACAUAUUAGCUCACCCUUGGUCCUCAUCUGGCCUUUAAGGUCAAUAAAAAACUCGAAUAACACGUUUUAUUCCACUUAACUAACUUGCUAAAAUGUAAUUAAAACAUAACUAAAAUUAUUAUAUUCAAGCUCCCAAACUGCGAAAACUAUUUUAAUCUGCUACAUCGAAUUACGAUAAAUCAAACUCCCCCACACUUAAUUCAUUACUUGUCCUCAAGAAAUACAAACAAAAACAGUAAAUGGAAAGACGACCCUUGAGCAAGUAUGGUACAAGUGUUAGCUUUGGAGCACAUGAAUAGGUAUUUCAUAUUCACAUAUAAUCUUGGCAUGAGAUAUAACUGACUUACCACUUGUGAUAUUAGACACCUAAGUUUAGUAUAUUACAAAACAUACAAGCUUUAAGGGUCUUAAAUGUGGGAAUCCAUCAAUAGAUUAUACCUACCUAGAUCACAUAGGACUUUUCGACUUGUAACAUUCUGAGGCUUAGUAUGGAUUUUAAGAAUAGUAAGCAUCAAAUACUUUUAAGCACGAAAAUAGUUUGACACAUCAUAUUGUCCCCUAUUCUCCCCCUUAGUAACCCUUUCCCGCUCACCUCCUUAUGUCUCUUUCUCUCACCUUCCUUAUUUCUCCGUAUAGGAAGUCAUAACGUAAUAUAACAAUCACGGUUAGUCUAUGAGCUUUUGUGCACUAAUGAAUGAGCUUUUCUACUUUUGUAACUUUGUCACAUUUUUUUUCUUUUUAAAUAUGUCUCACUCACAAGUGCUCUUACUUUUCAACUACUAUUUCUACUCAUUUUGAUUUUAUUUUUUUGAAAUUUUCUUUUUGUUGCACAUAUUAGCUAACUUAUAAUUACUAUAUCAUAUUGAUUCCUCCUAUUUCACUCUAUUUUUACAAAAUCCACCAUAAUGUAUCUACUUAACCCUUAAUACGAAUGGCCAAACGUCUAUAGUUAUACAGUUUAGAACCAAUGAAAAAGUAUAAGUACAAAUUUAUAUUUUGGCUCAGAUUUUAUAUAAAGGUUCAUCAAGAAGUGUUUUCUUGCUCAAAAAUAGGUACUAAAGAUAGAUAACAUGGUUAGCUUUUUGGCUCUGGGUGUAUUCCAAACAAUGCCUUAGGUCAUCCCUAGGUAUCUCAAUAUCCACAACUCUAGUCAACCAAACAACCACAAAUUCAACAAUUUAUCAUUCAUACUAACAUGUCUGUUUCCUUAUAUUCUCUAUAUCAUUUGGUACAUUCAAUUGUUUUAAUGCCUAUUUACAGUGUAAUAUAUAGAACUUAAUAGUCUAAUAAUCAAAAGUCUAGAAUCACCUAUACUCAUGCCAAUUUAUUGUAAAUACAAUCAACCUAUGUACAUACUCCUAACCAAUCACUUGUAUUUCUACAAGCUCAAGCACACGGAUGACAAAAAAUCAAAGAAAAGAAUAAAAAUUCAAAAACAUAUUUUCUAUCUUACCCCCUACACUUUAGAUAACAAAUUUUCCUCAAUGUGUAGCCCUUAAAAAGAUAAAGAAAGAAGUUACCCAAUUUAUUGUGAUAGUUCUAUAGGCUAUUGGUGGGUGCUUCCUCUAUUGCUUAUUGAAAGCUCUAAUUAUUGUGCCUCCUCCAUGUGGGGUUCCUACAUAGAGAAUUAGAACAAUACACAGAACCACUAAUAAUCUACUAUUAAUCCUACUCCAAAGAAAAAUCAAAUUAAAAUCAUCUAAGAAUUAAUACAAUCUUUAAAAAUAAAACCUUAACAAGGUUCAAUCAUCCUCCUCAAAAUCCAUCAUUUCCUCUCCUUCCUCUUUGCUUUCAUGCGCCUCUUCCUCCUACUCAAGAUGUGUGGCCUAAACAUGUCUGGUGUAUGACUAGGUACCAUAAUAUUGUUCUAUAGUGCAAACUCCUAAAAGAUUGGGCUCGAUUCUUGCAUCCAACGUAUCAUCCAAGAAAGUUUUGGAUGACUACUCUCUCUCCAACUUCUUGUUGAGCGGUUGGUUUUGCUCUCCUUUGAGACAAAGCCAAAGUUUUUGUCACCACUUGUUGGUGUUUUUUCCACUUUUUUAUCUGAUUUGCCCAAGUUCAACGUAUUGUGUAAAUAAAGUGUCACCAAUGAUGCUUUGGGAUGGCUUCAUUGAUUGUUCUGUGGACAUCAUUGGAAUGCCUAUUUUUUUGCAUAAGGCCACCACUAAGUGAGGGAAUAAAACUCCUACUUUUUGGUCACUAACACAUCUCUUCAGAUUUUGGUAAAUCCAUUUCCCAAUGCAUAUUUGUUUUUUCUGUAAAAUAGCAUAAAGGACAAUCGCUCAAACAGUAUUUACAUUAGAUACAUUUAAAGUAGGAACAACUCGUGUGCAUAAAAAUUAAAUUUACAUUUUAGCUUCAGGAAACAUUAUAGCUUGAUAAAAGGAGGUUAGGAUGUUGGUACCUAGGCGAUAUUUUCAUUUGCCCCCUCCUUCAGUUAAAAAGUUUAUAAUGUUAUCCAUAUCAAUGUCUCGAAAAUACUCUAAAUCAGUUUCACCAAUAAAAUAUUUUUUAUAGUAUAGGGCAUUAUAAAAAACACAAAUAAUUCAAGGGGUUACACGCACUUCUUUCCCUGGCACAGGUACAGUUUUCCACAUAUGACCUUUAAGAUUUCUAGACUCUUGGUCCCAUAAGAAUGCAUAAAAUUCAUGAACAACAGGGACCAUAGUGAUGUCUUUGGGGAUCGUCCAAAAAUUUUCCCAUCUAUGAUAUCUAACCAAAGGUCGUAUUUCCUUACAAAGAAUCAUUGACGAAUCAAAUCCCCUAUCUUGGAUAAAGAUUUUCCCUUGAAUUUCAGCAAAAUAUUUUUUGGGUUUGGAAAAUUAGAGGGGUUUGGAACUGUCGGUGAUUUUGGUCCAUUAGUUGUUCAAACUUUUCUAGGAGGCAUGAUGUAUUAGUUUUACUAACUAAUGAAAUAUCAAGAAAUUAUGUUCAAUGGAACAGUAAAAGUUGAGUUAGGAACCCUUAACCUCGUAUAAGUCAUUAGAUUCCUCAUCACAUUUGUUUGUUCAUUUUUCCCUCAGAUGCUCUCAUUCCUUCCUGUAUUGAGUAAGCUUUGAAAGAAUAAAUUUUCCCAACAAAUCAAAAAGAGAAAGAGAAAAGUGAGUUUUAGGGUUUAAAGGAUUUAAUAGGUUUUGAGAGAUUAAAAGUAUUAAGAGAUGUUUAAAUAAUUGAACAAUAUGUAUUUAGAUUAUAAAAUAGGUAUUUUGAAGGUUAAAAAUUGGGUAAAGUAGGGUUUAAGUCAUCGGGUUGCGCAAAUGGGUCAGGUUAACCCUGUAGAAAAUUGCAGCAAUGUCGUGACACAAGGGUUUCGUGUCGCAACAUCCCUAAUAGUUUACCUUUGUCGCAACAACGGCGUUCGUUGUUGUGACACACUCUAGACUUUUGGAUUUUUAGGUAUAUUGUUUUCAUUAUCGCGACACAUAAAUUCCAUGUCACAACAUCAAAGUGAUUUCCUUAAUUCCAUCAAAUCUUCUUUUAGUGUUGCGACAGAGCUUACCGUGUUGUGACAUUGGCUCUGUUUUCACCAUAAAUUCCAAUUUCUAAAGUGUUACGAGUUCUAUAAAACAUAAAGCUAAUAAAACUUAAAUUUUAUACUAAAAAUUUAUCUAAAUAUUUAAUAAUUUACAAAAGGUUAAAAAUUAAUUCAAAUAAUUUAAGUUUUACUGCCAGAUUCAUCUGACAGCAUCAUUGUUUUUCAAAAUGACUAUUCUCUAGUUCAUCAGUAUAGGUCCAUCACCCAUCAUGCCACUCCACCUUUGUUCACUUAUCCCUUUAUUUGAACUUGUUUUUUCAACCUGCAUGGAUUAGAGGAAAUACAUCCCUUGACUCGAGAUUGUUAAAAAUAGAUAGUUCAUUGCAAUGCUCCCCUAACUUCCUUAUACCACAUUUAAAGAUUUUAGUCUCACCAUUGGUUUUCAUGGUUAAUUCAUUUUUUUUCUAAAUCAACGGGAGACCUAAAGGUGGCUAGAAAUGGUCUACCUCACAAGACCGGUAUCUCUCAAUGUUUUCAAAAUCUAGAGCGAUGAAAUCUGUCGGAAUUAUAAAGCUGCGCACUUUGACUAACACAUCUUCCAGUAUUCCUUUCGGAUGCACUAAGGAUCUGUCGGCCAAUUGUAGUGUUAUCUGGGUAUUUUUUAGGUCCCCUAACCUGAGUUUUUCAAAAGAUGGAUAGAGGCAAUAAAUUAAUAAUAGCUCCUAGAUGACAUAGAGCUCUAUUAAAAUGAACGCUCUCUAUCUCUAUGGGAAUAGUAAAACUUCCCAAGUCUUUCAGUUUUUGAGGAACCUAUCUCAAAAUAAUAGCACUACAAGAAGCAUUUAUAUUAACUUGUUCACCUACCUUAAUCUUCCUACACCUAGACAUAAUUUCCUUUAAAAACUUGGCUUACUUAGGAACUUUCUUAAUCAAUUCAAUCAAGGGCAAGUUAACAUUUAGCGUUUUGAACAAGUUCAGAAAACUUACAUACUCGUCUUCAUCCUACUUUUUCUUCUCUUCUAGUCUUGCAAGAAACGAUAUUUUUGCAACAGCAGAAUGUUUGGUUAUUUCCAUCUUUAGCUCAACUGCCAGUGCAACUUCUUCCUCUGGUUAAGGUUCAUUGUCCGCUUUUAGGGAUCUUUCAUUGUCCGCUUCUAGGGAUCUUUCUUGAAUACUGUCAUUAUUCUCCAUAUUUACCUCCUAAUUUGGGUUUUCUGGGCUACUCAGUACUUUACCUGAUCGGAGCGCUAUUGCUUUUACGUGCUCAUUCCCUUCUCUGGGACAUGUUUUUUCGGUAUUACUAGGAAUACCUAUUCUAAUUUUCCUUUUUAUAUCCUAUAUCAUGCUCAUGAAUUGGCUCAUCUGAUCUUCCAAUUUAGUCAAUGUUCUUGUUGAAUUAGUGCACUCAGACUGCACAUGUUUCACAUUCGUUCUCAUUAGCUACAUCUCCCCCUCUAUUUUAUCCAAACGUUAACCACAUACAGUAUGGUCAUUUAGGUUGGCCCUUUCUUGAGGUUUAUGCAAAUAAAGAGGUUGAUAGUUAGUGUUAUUAACUGGGUUAGAACUAUUACCUUCUUCUUGGUUUCCUCCUCAUCUCAGGUUCGGAUGAUCUUUCCAUCUGAGAUUGUAUGUAUUUGAAUAUGAAUUCCCACCCCUAUUCUUGAUGUAGUUCACAUCCUCGGUAGGAUUGUUAAUAUAAUGAAAAAGUGGUUUGUAUCCUCUAUAGAUAGAUGAUGCACUCUUCUCAGCCUCUAUUUGGUUGAUUAUGUUCACUAUUUGUUGAUAUCUACCAUCCUCCUUAACAACCUUCACUGUAGAUGGUAUUUGGUCGUAUGUAUAUCUUUUAGUUGGCCAUUGGUAGGAAUUCAUUACCAUACAUUUUAUCAAUUCGUAUACAUCCUUGUACGUGUUCAUUAAAGCUCAUAUUGCUGCUCCAUUUAAAACUAACCUCUAAUGCACAUCUAACUCGUUGUAAAAAAUUUGUAUUUGUAACCACUCAAGCAAUCCGUGGUGUGGGCACUAAUGAAUUAGCAUCUUAAAAUGCUCCAUGCUUCGUGAAGCUUUCCCCCUCUAACUAUUUGAACAUAAAAAAUUUCCCUUCUUAGUUAGAUCGUCUUGUUAAUGGGGAAGAACUUUUGUAGGAAUUUCCUUGCAAAUUCAUCCCAUGUCGUGAUUGAUCUCGAUGCCUGCAAAUCUAGCCAAGAAAAAGCAUUAUCGAUCAAUGAAAAGGGGAACAACUAAAGACGAAUAGCGUCAUUAAUGACCCCAUUGUUCUUAAAGGUAUCACAAAGCUAGAGGAACCAUUUUAAAUGCUGUCUCAGAUCUUCUGUCAUUGUUCCAUGAAACUGCAAAUUAUUCUGGGUCAUAGCUGGCUUUAUUUCAAAAUUAGUGGUCGUGAUAGCUGGCCUCAUUAUACUCCAUUGAACCAUAUCCAGAUUCGAUAAUGUGUACUCCCUUAAAGUCCUCUCAUUACGUGCCAUGUAUAGAUUUACGAGUAGCUUCAGUAGUGGUGGCGGUGGAUCUUCAAGAUUGUUAGCCUCGUCAAACAACAGCUUCUCACAUGGUGACAAACUCCCUUUAGCAGGUAACUGAUUCUGUAUUGGCUGCUGCUAAUAUUGCUGUCGACGAUUUUCUUGAAUUAUUCUCUCAGGAUCUGUGACUGUUCUAUAGGUGUUCCCCUAAUAUUAGUCAGACACUAAACCCAAAAAGAUAAUAUUAGUAAAAAAACAAGAAAAUUAAAUUCGUAACUGUAACCUAAAAAUUUCCUAAUUAUUCUACUAGUAUGCAAAAAUUAAGACCAUUAUAGCGGCGUUGCAUCCCCAGCAAGGGCAUCAACAACUUGAUCGCCUUCAGACAUACCAACGUCUAGAGUAGAAUUUCUACACAAAAGAUGUGAAAAAAUGGUAUCUGCAAGUAUACGGGUAAGGUUAUAAUAUAGUUACAACAGAAUAGGUAAGUACUCAGAGAAUCGUACCCAAAGGAGGUGAGCACUAAUUUAAUCUUAACUUAAACAUAACUAGAUCUAAUUAAUACUCUAAUCAGUUUAUAGUACGAAGAAUUUAAAGAUGAGAUUUUGAUAAAAGUAUACUAAUAGUAGGCACGAACAUAAAAGAAAACUAAAUAAAGUAAAAUCAAGAAACCAAAUAAUAGAAUAUAUAUCAAAUCUAGCAUGGGUGAUUAGCUCACAUUGGUAAUUCUAUCUAACUGUCAUCUCAGGCUUUAUUUUUUAAUCAACUAGUCAAUAUCCCAUCAAGAUCUUUCGAUACAUCCACUGAAAUACUGAGUCGGUAGGGACUACUUAUCCUCCGACCUCAAGUCCAAUACGGUUUUGGGUUAAGGUUUUCACGAAUGAGUCAUACCAAUUUUAGGUUAAUUCUCACCUUGAUGACUUCCUAGGGUUGUCAGACCUAGGGUUUAGGUUAUUCCUAUCCUGAACAGCUGAUCCAUUAAGAAAUCCCUACAAAAUAAUUAAUUAGUCACACCUUCACUUGCUAAUCCCCCACAAGAGGAUUAGUUCCUCAUGGAUCUGGUAACCAAUAUAAACUUGAAUGAAAGAUCAAGCAUAAAGAAUAGUUUCAAGAAUAUAGUUUAGAAAAAGCCUAAUUGUAUUGAAUUUAAGCAUAGAAUCUUCACAAAGUUUGAGAAUAUUUUCAGAAUCUGAUUUCUCCCCAAAGAAUAAAUAACAAGAAAGGAAUACAAUCUAAAACCUAAGAAAAAGGAAAAACAAAAGACUAAAACUAAAACUAAAACUAAAACUAAAAAGAAAAUUAUACAAUAGAAGGAGAUGUCCAUAACAUGUGUUAGCUAAGCCUAUUUAUAGAUUAACAGCCACCGUCCUUAACCCUAGGUCAGCUGACAUUCUCAAGCUUAAAGUUGGAUUGUGCAGACUAAAAUGCCCCUGGCUCGUAUUAAUUUCCCGUGCAGAGGCAAAGUCACGACACACCAGGUCCUAUGUCAUGACAUUGAAGGCAAUAUGUUUAGCUUCAGGGUGUCCUUAAGGGUAUGUCGCGACAUCCUCAGGCUGUGUCACGACAUUGAAGGCAUUCUUGGGCUUCUUUAGUUCCACUCCGUAUGUUGCGACAUCUAAUGCUCUGUGUUACAACUUAGCAACCAGUAUUCAGUUAAUACACCUUCUAAUGGUCUCCUACACACUCACAACACAUAUUAGGGCACUUUUAGGCCUCAUCCGGCCUCUAAGGCCAAUAAAAGAUCGAAUAACACAUUUUAUUCCAUUUAACUAACUUAAUGAAAUGUAAUUAAACCGUAACUAAAAUGCUUAUAUUCAUUCUCCCAAAGUGCAAAAACUAGUUUAUUCUGCUAAACUAAAUUAUAGCAGAUCACUCGCGAAAAGAAUGUUUUACGAAAUAAGAGGGUUCCGUUGGUUAAGGUUUUGUGGCACAACCACAAGACAAAAGAGGCUACUUGGGAAGCUGAAGAUGCAAUGAAAUGAAAAUAUCCUUAUUUGAUUAGCUUAGGUAAAUUUUAAGGAUGAAAUUUUAUUUAGAGGGGGAAAGUUGUCACGCCCCAAAACUGGGCCAAGCAUCUUUUAGGGUAAUUUAGGGAUUUUAGCUCAAAUGUGUUUGAAAAUUUGAAACAUGGUAAAUCGAAAAUGUCUUCGUCUAUGAAUUUUAGAAAAUUAAAUCAAAUUUUGAAAAUGAUGAACAAAAUACCUUUAAUUUUGAAUAGAGGACUAUUUUGAACAAGGGGUUAAAGUUAGGAAUACCAAAAGGGUAAAUUUACCAAAUUUUAAAAAUUGACCUAUUUCUUCUGCCCACCUACAACAAAACUCAUGAAAACAUAUUUCCCUCACCCUUGCUACCAUCCCCUUACUUUCAUAAACACCAUUCAUUCAAUUUGAUUGUCCAAACUUUAAUUCUCUUGAUUUCUACCACCUUCCAAGUGUUAAAUCUUCCUAGAAUUUCAAGAAAAACUCCAUUAAUUUUGUCAUCUCUCGAACUUGUGGAUUUUUCUCGGAUUUGCACCAAAUGUUUGUUUUUCUCUCAUCAAGGGUAAUAAUUCAUUUUCCUAUUAGUUUUCGAUGAUAUCUAGCCUUUUAAAUCAAGUUUCUAUCUAUUGAAUUGAAAGUUUUAAACAAAUAUCGAAAAUUGGGUUGUUAAUGGUGAAAUUCGAGAUUUUAAAUGAAAACGAUGUUUCAAAUUUUUUUUCAAGUUAUUUUAAAAUGAUUAGAAGGUUCUAAACUUUCCUUAAAGUUUCAUUAAAUAAUUCUAAGGUUUUAUUGAAUUUUCGUGUAAAAUGCCAUUGUAUGUCGAAAUUUCAGAACUAUGAAUCUGAGUAGUUUGAGUAGUUUAAAGGUUGUUAAUUAUUCUUAGAUGUAUUAUAAGGUGAUUGUAAUCAGUUUUAUGCAAUGAGAAUGAAUAGGUGUUGUGAUUUUUGUGUUUCGACUAAGCUAGUCUAAAUUUUAGUUUCAUGAAGAACUAGCUUAGGCUUAUGUCUCUGGUUGAUUUAGGUGGGUCUAUAGUUGAAUGUUAAUUGUUUUUAUUGUGUGAUUUACUUUGGUGAAGCUUCAGAGUCAUUAGAACCUUCUUCGACUAAAGCGAAAGGUAAGGAAAAGUUGGUUUAAGCUAUCGGCAUCUAGGUAAAAAAGUGAAAGGUAAGGAAAAGUUGGUUUAACCUUCUUUGAGGGUGAUUAUUGGGAGCUUAUGAGUAGCCUAAAUCCCUACUCUAUGUUUCGAGUGUAAGCUUUCUUAUACCUUUGUUUAAUUUGCGAAAUAUGUGAUUAUGUGUUAUGGAAUUGAGAAUUAAGAUGUGACAUGUGAAAUAUGUUGGGAUGGCUAUUAAGAAUGUGAUAAUUGUGGGUAUCUUAUACAUACCGAUUGACAGUGAUAAUAUUGUGCUUAUAUUGUGAACGUGCAAUGAAAAGGUACAGUAAAUGACAAGUAAAAUGUAUAUAUAAUUGUGGAUAUUUUGGCCUUGUGAUCUUUGAGACCGUUAGAUAUAGUUGGCAUGCCAUAGUAUUUGUGGGUACUCACCCAUGUGUUGUGUUUUUGGGGCAUUAAGGCCCAGGACAGUUUUGGAGAGAUAAGGGAAUGUGAGCUCGACUCCAUUCACCGGGAUAUGUUGGUGUGCUGGAGAGUGUUAGCUAAAUGCAACGCUUUUAGGAUAUGUUCGACUCAUCGAGUUAAUGGUGUGUUGGAGAUCCGUGUAUCCGAUGUAUGGUGGUAGAGCCCACUUUUAUGUUUCAUAGCCUUAAGUGCCAAAUUAUCAUUAAAUGUGAUUUUGUAAAAUGUGAUAUUAUGGUAUGUGAUGUAUGCAUGUGAAUAAUAAGUUAAAUAAGUUGAUAAAUAUUGCGUGAAUAUGUUAGCAUGUCAUCAUAGUAAAUCACGUAUAUAAUUGUGCUUUGGUUGUUUUUGUUUAAUGUGUGAAUGCAUGUCUAUUUGGUGGUUAUUCUGAUCAUUCACUGAGCUUGUUUAAGCUCACCCACUAUUUUUAAACCUUUGCAGGUAGUUAGCAUUGCAGUAUGAGCGGUGCAAAAAUUCCAAGAAAGUGAUCCAAGUUAGAUUUAUUGCUUGAGUAGGUGAUUUUUAUAGCUAUUGUUUGAAUUAUGGGAAUAAGGCAAUUUGAUAGAUUUGCUGGUUGACUAUUUUCAUGAUGUUUUAGAUGAUAUCUUAACUUUAUUACUCGUAGAAACUAUGGACGUUUGUAAUUAGUUCUUUAGUUUUCUUAGCUUAAAUUAAUGAUGACACAUUGAACUACAAAUUUUGAUACUUCUGAUGCUGAAUUUUGAGGUUAUAAAUGCAUGAUGAAUUGGUGUAAGUAUAGUUGUGUCAAAUGUCUUGUUUUGGUGUUAUUUUUGUUGUUUUGUGCAGAGGUAUCGAUAAUCGGCUAUCUAGUAUCAAUACCUCCAUGAUAAUUCAAAUGUGUAGAAAGUCAAUAGCUCAUUUUGGUAUCGAUACCAUUUCUCGAGUAUCGAUACUCGGGGUAAAAGUAUUGAUACUUUUUUAUCUGUAUCGAUAACUUGUUGGGUUUUAAUCUUUGCAGAGAAACAUAAUACUAAAAAGAUCUCUUGGAAAUUUUUGUUCAAUGGUCUUUAAGUAUGCUUCUAACUUGUUAUAUGGUCGUUCAAUGUUUUAGUAUAAUUUAAUGUCGCCUAGGGUAUUCUUUUACUUAAAUCACCUAUAUUCGAUUAAACAUGAUGAUGUUUGCAUGCUAAUAAUGUAACACAUCUAACCCGUAUCUAUCGUAGGAAUAGGGUUACAGAGCAUUACCGUAAAAACAAAUCUUUCACACAUUCAUCUCAUACAUCAACCUAAACAAAGCAUAAAUCAUUCAUUUACAUGCAUAUCGUCCCUUAAUCGAGCCUUCAAGGCCUUAAAAUAUUUUAAAAAUAAUUCGGGACUAAAUUGGAAACAUUUGGAACAUUUAAGAAAAAGUUGGAAAAAUUGAAAUAGGGGUCACACGGCCGUGUGAGUCACACAGCUGAGACACACGCCCGUAUCUCAGGCCAUGUAGCAAUCAAAAUAGGGACACAUGACCGUGUCCCAGCCCGUGUUCGUGCCCGUGUAACUCUUUGAGUUAGGUCACAUGGCCAAGCCACACGCCCAUGUGCCAGGUCCUGUAACUCUCGAAAUAGCCAUACACAACCAUGUGCCAGGCCGUGUAACAUCCUGACUUGCAUACAUUAAACCUACAGGAGACAUACAGUCAUGUCGCCUGGUCGUGUGUCACACAUGGUUGAGUCACACGCUCGUGUCUCAAGCCUUGUGGACAUGAAUUUGCCCAAUAACAAGCCAAUUCCAUCACCAAUUCAAGCAUGUACUUAAAAGCAUUUUGAGCACAUAACCAAAGCAUCAAAACCUUACCAAAACAUGCAUAUAAUGACCAAUGUAAUGAUCCCAAAUCAAUUAACCAAUAUGCCAAUCAAGGCACCUCAAAUGCAAACAUACAAACUUACCUAAACAUAUGUAUAUAUUUGGCCACAUUUCAUUCACAAACAUCUAGUUCAAUACCAUUUCCAAAACAUACCUUAACUUGACCAUGUUGAGAUCAAUUCAUCACAUACCACUUUAGCCAUUCAAACAUGCAUCAAUACAUUUCCAAAUUAACACAUACUAGUAAGGCAUUUAUAAGUACCAAAAUGACACUAACCAACCAACAUCGAAUGGUACCAAAAAACUUAUACAUGUAAAUAUCAUCAACUAACAUUCAAUUAAAUACCAAUACAAGUCCACCUAUACAUGCCAUUAUAACAUUGGCCAAAACAUCAAAAACUGCUGAUAUUUAUGCUAGAUAGUGUGAUAGAUCUCAAACGAGCUUCCAAACCGAUUAAGCUUCAAAUUAUCUAUAAAGUAAAAGAAAGUAAUUACAUAAGCAAUGAAUGCUUAGUAAGCUCGUAUAAACGUAAAACAUAAUAUUUCAUUUUAAUAAUGAACUUUAUAAGGUAAAUAUAAGUAAUUACAUAAGAAAUGAAUGCUUAGUAAGCUCGUAUAAACUUAAAACAUAAUAUUCCAUUUUAAUAAUGAACUUUAUAAGGUAAAUAUAAACCUAUACCAAUGCCACAAGAUAUAUCAAACUCUAUAACCAUCAACUCACAAAUGAGUAAGUCCAUCAACAUCACAUAUAUUUUUCAUUUCUAACAUAAUAGGAUUUUAAAAGACAUAAUACACAAGCAUGAACCUUUUCAUAAGACUAUGAACCAUUCUAUUUACUUACUUUCCAUUCCAUUUACUUAGCAUAAGCUUAAAUAGCAUUAUCACGUUACGAAUUAGUGUAUCUAUUCAUGACAUAUGUUCAUCCAUAGCAUAAGUAAAUUUCUCACAUAUAAGUACGUCAUUUAUUUCAUCAAUCCUUUUAUAUCAUCAUAUUACAUCUCAAUUAUGAACUUACUAUUUCAUUAACGUUUCUUACCCGUUUCAUUUGCAUAAUACAAGGCAUAAGCAUAAACAUCAACCAUAACCACAAGCUUGACACAAGCCUAAACAUCAUCAUUAAUACACAAGUUAGUGCAUUUAUACAUAACUCUUUUGGGAUCAACCACAUGAUAAGCCAUUUUAUAAGAAAAUACAUCUUUUGAUUCAUACCACCUUUUCAUGAACAUAAGCAUAUUUCCAUUUAGAAACUUACAAUUUCAAUCCUUUUCAUAAAUACAUGAUAUAGUUCAUUUGAACACUUACCGUUCCUUUCCUUUCCAUGCCCAUUGAACCAUUUAGAAUAAAAUUGGAUACACGAGAAAGCUCACACGAAGUGUUCUAAACAUAUAACCAUAACCUUUCCUUUUCCUUUUCCUUUUCCUUUACAUCGUUGCUCACACGACCUAUGAAAUGGGCCUGCUCACACAAGUUAUAGGCCGGAAUGUAAGCUACACGAUGCUGCUCACAUGAGCUGUGAAGUAUCAGCAACAAAUGUAGGACCUUAACCAUUGGUAGGGCAUUCAAGACCAGCACCCGAAACAUGAAAACCCUAACGACAUGUCAUUUGUAUCCUAUGAAUUCCUAAGGUUCAACCGGGACUUGAUAAUCAUCAAUUCGUCAAAAUUUGGGUACAUUCGUAUAUAUAUUGAUCCAUUUACAUUAAAAAACAUAAUGAAAAAUUUAUUUUACUAAAAUUAUAAUGAUUACAGUUCAUAUGAACUUACCUGGCUAAAUUGUGGAAAUGACUAAGUACAGGGGUUAUUUGGUAAUUUUCUCUUCUCCUCAAUUUUCCACUGGUUCUUGAUCUAAAUUAAUAAUUUCAUUCAAUUCAUUAAUUCAGACAGCAAAACCAUUUAUUUAACAUUUUACAAAAUUACCCCUAAUAUUUUACUUUUAUUCAAUUUAGUCCUUAAUCCUACAACAUGCAAAUUAACCAUUUUUACUAAAAUUUAAACUUAGCCGAAUUUAUUGGGACCAUACUACAGCCCAUAUUUUUUGUUUUUACACAUUAAAUCCUUCUACUUUUACUAUUUUAACAAUUUAAUCCCUACUCGUUAAAUUAAUCAAAAAUCACUUAACAAAAUACUUAUAAAUAACAACUAAUACUUCAAAUUCAUCAUUUAACAUCUAAAAUCACAAAGACUCAUCAAUGGAAACAUUCAAAAUUUUCAACAGUUUCAAAAGCGAAGGUACGGGCUAGAUGGACCUAGUUGCAACAAUUUCAAAAACAUAAAAAUCAUUAAAAACUAGGCAAAAACACCAUACCAUGCAUGAAAUUUCAGCAAGGUCAAAAGCUUCCUUCCUAUUUCCAUGGUGUUUCAGUUUUGUUUGAGAAAAAAACAAAAAGAUGAUAGCAUUUAGGCCUUUUUUUGUUUCUUUUAAUUCAUUUAAUUAUAAAAUUACAAAUUUGUCCAUUUAAAAAUCAACCAAAUUUCUAGAUUUUAAUUACCCAAAACCAUCCACCAACAAUUCAAUUGGUAUAAUUACCAAAUAAGUCCAAAAAAUCACAUUUUCAUAAAUAUUAGAAUAUUUAAUUAAUAGAAUUCAACUUUUGCAUCAUUUUCAAUUUCGUCCUUUUCACCUAAUUAACCCUUUAAACAUCAAAUUUCUUAACGAAACUUUAAUACAACCAUAAUAACACUCCGUAAAUAUUAAAUAAAAUAUUUAUGACUCAUUUUAUAGAAAUGACGUCUCGUUACCUCAUUUUUUAAAACCACUUGCCUUUAGGGUCUUACCACUUGAACAUAAUUGUUCUUCCAUUUAACACAAAUCAUUAAAUCAAAAUUUAUCAUUAUACUAUAUAUUACUCAUCAAUAUUAAGUAAUAAUAUUUACGGACUCAUACGUCAGAUUUGUGGCCCCGAAACCACUAUUCUGACAGUUUAGAGGAAUGGGUUGUUACAAAUAAGAAGUUAUGUAAUGUGUGUUGUUGUGACAGUGGUGUAGCGUCUUGAUACUUGGGCUCAGUGAUCGAGUUAGGUAUAGGGUGUUACACCCCAUAUUAUACCUAUUAUCAUUUAGAGCUUUUAGAUUUAUUCAUAUUCAAUGACUGAGGAUUUUGAUAUAGAGGGUAUAAUAGAUUCUUUGAUAAAAGGGCAUGGUGAGUGGACUCGCUAAGACAACUUCGAGGUGCCCCUGAAAUUUAACACGGUUAUCACGUUCAUGCUGGCCAAGAUGUGGGUGCGAUUCAUUUGGACCCACUUGGCACCAACUCAUAAUUCUUCUGACAUUACCACCUAUCGAGUCGUUAUGCUUUAUUCUAUAUUACAGAGAGAGCAUAUUUGAAUUGGCCACUAGACUUACGUGGAAAUGCUCAAGUGCAUACGGAGCCAAAAGUAAAGUACGUACUUCCCACAUUCGAUUACCACUUUAUGCCCUUGAGCUGACAUUCCCAUGUCCCUAAUUGAGCCAUUCACAAUACCUAUAAAGAGUGUGAUAUGGGAAAACCUAUACGUCCAGUUCAUCGAGCUCCAACAAAUGAAAAAUCGAGAGAAGGAGAAAAGAACUAAACAUAUGUCAAAGAUGACGGGACUCAAGGAUAUGUCCAUCUCGUAGUGGCAAACAUGAUGGAUGCAAUAUAUGGGCGACAUCCUGAUAAGCAUUGCGGAACAAAAUGGAUGGCCAACACCUACACCACUCUCGGACAUGUUCGAGUGGCUCCCAUCGCCAGGCGAGGAGGGCACCAAUGAUGAAGAUGAUGACGAUGAUAAGGAGGAGAAGACCCCGGUCCUGCCAUCAGAUUAUGAGUGAGUAUUUUGACCAGACUGCUCAUCGAUGAAAGGCGUAGUGAUUCGUGACCCAAGCCAUCACAGCCAGACCCAAACUUCAGGAAACUGGGCUACUAUCAAUGGGGCAUGAGAGGGGUGAGGCACCGAUGAUAGAGGAGUUGGACACUGAUUCUGACUAGUUCUGAAUAGUUUUAAAUUUUUAAUUUGGACUUUGUACUUUAGUUUUAUUUGGGAUGAUUUUUAAUUUUUUUAAGCUUUUAAUUAGUUAGGAUUUAGUAUUUUCUAUAUAUAUUUGUGUGUUUUUAAUUUUCCUUUGUAGGAACCCCACAAAAUUUUAAGGCACUACAAGAUCAAGCCAAACCGGAAUGAGGAGUAGUCUUCCCAAUUGUAUUGUACGAAUCAGGCCAAUCGUGUAAUCUCCUUCCUUUAUAUGUUUAUUGCACAUUAGGGAAAAUGUACCAAAUAAAGUGUGAGGGUGACUUGGAAAAUUUUUAAAAUUUUUCUAUUAUUUUUCUUUGUUUUUAGUAGUUUUAAAAUUUUUAUUUUUGCAUGUUUUCUAUGUGCUUGAGCUUGUAGAAAUACAAGUGAUUGGUUAGGAGCAUGUUAAUAGAAUUUUGAAUAAAUUUUAAAUUUAUUUUGAUUAUAAUUGAUUCUCAAUUUUCUAAUUUUAGACUACUUAGUUCAAUUUAGUACAUUGUGAAUAGAUUUAAGGUGUUAAGUAUACCACAAGAUAAAUAUGUAUAUAAAUAGCAUGCAUAUUUAAUUAAAUUAUAGGUUGUAGAAAUUGAUAGACUUGGCCAAUUUCAUCCAUGUAUAGAAGUACCUAGGGAUGACUUAAGGCAUUGUUUGGUAAACAAUUUUUCGAGCCAAAAAGCUAACCUUAUACAUAUUCUCCUUAGUACCUAAUUUGAGUCUGAACCCAUUUUCUUGGUGAACCAGAAAUAAAACCUUGAGCCUAAUAAAUAUUCUAUUUGAUCAUUUAUUUCUUGGUCCUUGCAUGGAUUUAGACGUCCAACCAUUGAUAUUGAGGGAUUAGGUAGAUACAGCAUGGUGGUUUCAAAAGAGAAAAAAAAUGGGUGAACUAAGGAAUUGUAUGGUAUAGUGAGUAUAAAAUUUAUUGAGCUUGUAGAAAAAUAAGGAAAAAUGCCAAUCAAGAAAAUCUCAAUGAAUAAAAGCAAAGUGAGUUGGAAAAAAGUGGGCUAACCUUUGUUCAAAAGAAAUAAGAGCACGGAUGAUUGUAUUAAUGAAUACUACAUGAUGCCUUAGUAAAUGGUGAAAUAAGAAAGGUGAAGAAAGUAGAUAUAAGGUGGUGCGCUACAUGUAUAUUCGAGGAAGUACCAUGGACAAUAUCAUGUGCCAAACUACUUUUGUCCUUAACUAUUUUUUCGAGCCUAUUCUUUGAAUUCCAAACCAACCUAAGCCGCAGAAUGUUACAAGUCGAAAAGUCCUAUGUGACUUAGGCUGUACAUUAUGUGGAUGAAAUUGUGUCAAGUUUUGAUGUUUUUACCACUUAUAUUCAUUUGAAUAUAAUUAUAUAUUUUUAUAUUUGUUUUUAUGGAAAGACAUACUUGACAUUCUUUUAUUUGUUUGCUUUGUAAUUUAGUGAACUAACCCGUCUAAUUUUAGAAAUUUUGAGUCAAUUGUAUAUCAUCCUAGAGUUAUAUGUUUAUUCACAUUAUCUUGUUAAUAUAUUUCAAUCUAAUUUCCUAUAUCAAUCUCGCUCAAAUACAUUUUAUUUUUCUUUCAUGUUUAUUUUCUAUUUUUAGUUUAGUUUGUUUUUUGUAACACCCCUAACCCGUAACCGUCGCCGGAAUAGGUUAAGAGGCAUUAUCGGACUUUCAACUCAGUUCAGAUCGGUAAUUCAUCAAACAUUUUACAAAUAUCAAACUAAUAUGAUUCAACCUCAUACCUAUCCUAAUAUCAAAUAACAUUCAAGCAUUUUCCAAUUCACCAACUCAUCACAUACCAAUAUUAUCAUAUGCAUCAAAUCCUUCAUAAGCAAACUUGCCAAAACAUAUCAUCUUAUACACAUUUGACCAUUAUAACAACUAAGCCAAAUCUUAUGGCUUAAGAACAUCAAAACACAUAACUAUACAAUAAGCUAAAGUAACCAAAAACAUAUUCCCAUAAACUAGCCUAUACAUGCCAUAUUUAUACAACUUCCAUGAGUUCAAAAGGUACCGAGAAAUCGACUGGAUAGUGUGAUGCUUAUCUCCGACGUCGUCCGAAUCGAACUAGCUAACGAACCUCUAUAAAACACGAAAAAAUAAACUGAGUAAGCAUUAAAGCUUAGUAAGUUGAUAUAUAAAUAAUUAGCAAUCUGUUAACAUGAUUUUACCAAUCCUUACAACAUGUUCUCAAGAUAAUACAAUCAAAAUUGCACAUAGUUCCACUAUUUACUCAUGUUCACUUCAAGCUGUCUACUCGAGUUAUAGUUACUAAAUUAUUUAUAUAUUGCGUUACAGAACUCCAAAUUAAGAUCUGCUUGAUUUUUCUGAAACUAGAAUUACAAAUCUUCUUACCAUAAAAUUUUUAGAAUUUUUGGUUUAGCCAAUAAGUACAGUUAAUUCUUCAAAUUCGUCCAUGUUCUACUGUCUGACAGUCCCGACCCUUCUUCUCUAAAAAUUAAUUAUCUUUUAGUACAGGAUUUGGAUGAUAUUUCCAUUUGUUUCUCAUGAAAAUAGAAUCAUUAAUAAUUUUAAUCAUAUAAAUUCUAACCCAUAAUUCUUCUUAUACAAUUUUUAAUGAUUUUCCAAAGUUAGAACAGGGGAUUCCAAAAUCAUUCUGAUCUUAUCUCACAAAAAUUCAAAUAUCUCAUAAUACGAGAUUCUUUUGCUCAAACCGUUUCUUUUAUGUGAAACUAUACUCAAUCAUCUUUAAUUUCAUGUCUUAGUCAACCUCUAAUAAGAUUUCCACAAUUUUUAUUGAUUUUUCAAAGUUAUACAACUGAUGUUGUCCAAAACUGUUUUAUUGCAAAUUUUACUCUUUCAUGAUUUUUUUCAUGCAUUUCAUAAAAUUUCGUUUACAGUUCCAUACGUUCCCAUAACACAUAUCAUAUUUCAUCUAUACAAUUCACAUAGAUCAUAUUCCAUUUCAUUCUCAAUCAUAUAAUCGGUAACAGUAUAAUGCCCGUUGAACCUAAUGAAACAUCGAAGGAUACUCGGGUGAUACACACUAUGUGCAUUAAUCGAUAAUCCAUCAAUUCAUUAUCAUUUUCGCUCUUUGGAGCCAUGAUCGGUAAGCUCAUUUCGAGUCCACAACAAAUGCAGGAGCUCGACGAAAACGGUAACCCUAGUGACAUGUCACUCGUAUUUUACAAUUUUCCAUAAUUCAAACGGGGCUCGAUAUUACUCAAUACAUUUCAAAUUAAACAAUUCAAUAUUUUUUAUUUCAACCAUUCAAUUCACAUAUAUAUACAUAUUCAUUUCAUACAAUUGCAAUUAAAUGAAAGUUCGAUUCUAAUUAUACGAACUUACCUCAAGUUGCUCGGAUUGACAUUAUCGACUAUUCGUCCGCUUUUCCUUUUUCCCGGUCUAAUCCCAAUCUCGACUUAUCUUGAUCUAUAUAUUAUCAAAAUUAGCUUAUUUAAUCAACUAUUUAUUCAAUUUAGUCCAAAACACACAUUAGGGCUAUUUUAAACAUUUCCCCUAAACUUUCACCUUUUCUCAAUUUAGUCCCUAUUUCAAAACAACACAAAAUACACAUAAUUUUAUUAAACCCAUGCUUGGAUGAAUCUUCCCUAGGCCCCUAGCAGCCCAUUAAUUUCAUUUUUUUCACAUUUCAACCCCUCAAUUUGUAAAUUUCACACAUAAAUCCCUAAUUUAGAUUUUCAUCAAAAAUCACUUUAUAAAAUAUGAUAAUCUAUCAACAAAUAUUUAUUUUUCAUCAUCAAAAAACAAAAAGCUUGAAUAUUCAUCAAUAGAAUUUCAUAAAAUAAUCAUCAAAUUCGAAAAUUAAGGCAUGGGCUAGCUAGAAUACAAAGCAACAAUCUCAAAAACGUAGAAAUCAUUAAAAAGGGAGAAAAAUGACUUACAUGCAAGCUAGAAUGCCAUGGCCGAACCUAGCAUGCUUCCAUGGUGUUUUUAUUCUUUGAUUUUCGAUGGUGAAGAUGGAAGAAAGAUGAAAUCUUUCUUUUCUUUAUCUUAUUUUAAUUACUUAUUUACUAAUUUACUUAAUUAACCUUGAUAUAUAACCUUUAAAAUCACUUAAUAAAUGUCAAUAUUUGUCCACUCAACAUGUCAAUGGUUUAAUUACAACAUAAACCCUUUAACCAUUUAAUUUCAUAGCUUUUAAAUCCCUUUAGCUUAUAGAACUCCAAUUUUGCACCUUUUACAAUUUAGUCCUUUUUAUCGAAUUAAGCAUACAAACGAUAAAAUUUCUUAACGAAAUUUUCAUAUGAUUCUACUAACAUGCUGUAAACAUUAAAAUAUUAAUAAAAUUAAUAUUUUAACUUUAGAUUUGUGGUCCCAAAACCACUGUUUUGAUUUGACCCAAAAACAUGUUACAUUUUUAGUUUUUUUUUUGUUUAGUUUGCUUGAGGACAGGCAAAAACUUAAGUGUUGGGGUAUUUGACCUGUCACCAAAUGUAGUAGUUAAUUCAGGUUAUUUCCACAUUUAAGGAGCUUGUAUUCUAGGAAAUUUAGUAUUUUAUAUUAUGUUUUUUGUAGUUAGUAGUUAGGAUUAAAUAUUAUUAAAAUAAUUUUUAACACAUUUUAUGAGUGUUGUGACCUAUUAGGCCGACACGGGCCUUAUGUAGUGCUAAUAUGUGUAAUUAAGUGUGUAUGAUGAUGAAUUAUAGGCCCAAUUACAGUGAGAGAAAGGGACAAGUGAAGCAAAAGCUUCCUGAGUCGUCAAGGCAUGAAACAAACCAUACAAGGCACAAAUCACAUGUUAUCUCGCGCCAUGAAAGGCUUAUUGCGUGACAUAGGUCAACGUGCUACCUAAGGAUACCAAGGCUAUUUUCAUCCACACAAUCGACUUUAUACGAAGACCUAGGACAUGUCGAAGACCUAAUUCGGGCUGCCAACACUCCUAUAAAUAAGACAUUAGGGGUUUGAUGUAACUAAGUCAUCUUAGACGCAAUCAAAAACCCUAGUAGUGUAGGAUUAUGAUUAGAUUUAGUUUCUUUUGGCUUUUUUAAACUCUUUGUUUUUCCUCUUGAAAUUGAUUUCAAUCUAAGAGUUCUUUUAUAUUAUUAAAGUAAUUUAAUUUAAUUCUUAUUUGCGAACGACAAUAUUUUUUAUUUCAAUCGAGAGAUUUACUACUCCGUUCUCCUAUCAACAUCGAAUUCAGGAUUAUGCUAAUCUCUUUUCUCUUCAAUUCAAUUAUGUUCUUUACAUGUUUUGUUAAAUUGAGAUUAAUAUUAUGAAUAACAUGAGUGGCUAAAUCCCUUAGGGGUGAUUAAUGAGUGGAUGGGGAUGUGAUUAACUAAGGAUUUAUGGUUUCCCAAGAGGAUUAGAUGGUAUAGAUUACACAUUCUUAAACCCUAGGCUUGACAACCUUAGGAAGUAAUCAUAGGUGAGACAAGAUUGGGAGAUAAGUUGAACCGAGUAAAUCGUAGAUAUCCUGGUUGAGAAAUUGAGUUUAGAAGAUAACCGAGUAUCAACCAAUCGAUUAAUUAGUUAGAGAUCAGGAGGUAAUAACUGGUUAAUCAGUAGCUAAUCCACCCUAAAACCCUAAUUUAAAGUUAAUUACAAACCCUGAAAUGAGUUAAUAUUCCUGAUUGGUUUUACUGAUUUAAGUGUUUGUUUAUUUUCUUAGUUAUUUAUUUAGUUAUUUAAUUUCUCUUAUUAGUCCCCUUUUUAUGAAACCACAACUAAAGAUGAUAUUUUUACACUUAAGAAAGCUAACAAGAAUAAAAUUUGUUAAAUACUUUGAAAAGAACUCAAAAUAGCAAGAGAAAGUUUUGCUUGUAAUUUCAAGAAAACUGACGUUACAGUAAAAAUGAAGAAACUAAUAGCCACUAACUAACUAAGCAAAGCAAGGAAACCCUAGAAAAUUAAAAAUGGUGAAAGGAAUAAAAGAGAAGACAAAAAUAUGAUAAAAGAACCCUUUUUUUGCACCCAAUAGCCUUUUAUACAGCAAAUUCUAUAACCCUAACAUUUGACAAGAAUGCCCUUAGAAAGAAGGAUUUUACUUAAGUUGAUGCUAGACACAAAAUUGCCCCUGCAGUAUUUUCACCCCGUCAAACUUCAAUGUUGUGAUAGCCAAGAUUUGGUGUCACAACAUCCUCGGUAGAAGGUACAAUCUUGGCAUAAGAAUUCUUGAAGCCUAGGUGGUGUCAUGACAUCCUCGACAGUGGUAUUAGGCUCCUUCACUUCAACCAUAAGCUCGGAGUCAUGACCUUGAAGCUUGUAGUUGAGACAUUUAGGGCUUAAUGUCGUGACACAAGACACUUAAUGUCGUGACACAAGACACUUAGUGUCGCGACUUCCAUGUCAAAUUGCUUCAGGUUGGUUUUGUUGGAUCUGGUGCCCUAAAUGUAGUAUUGUUUUCUAUAUACUGUUGUAUUUUUUUGAAUGGAUUGGUUUAUUAAGACCCCUAACCCGAAUCUGUCACCAGGACAAGGUUACAGAGUAUUACCGAAGUUUACAAUUUAAACUGACAGAAAAUUUCAAAUAUUUCAUAACAUAUAUCAUUCAUAUCAUAAACCAAUCAUAGUCAUGCAUUUUGUUCCUAAUACAAGCCCUCAAGGCCCAAAACACACUUUAGAAACAAAUUGGGACUAAAUUAGAAACUCAGAAAAUAUUUCAAAAACAUUUAAAAUUUUCAAAGCUACAGGGGUCACACGGCCGUGUGGUCAGGCCGUGUGGUUAAGCCAUGUGAGACACGCCCGUGUCUUAGGCCAUGUAGGCAUUCAAAAUAGGAACACACGUUCGUGCCUGUGUAACUCACUGACUUGUGCCACACGGCCAAGCCACACGCUCGUGUGUUAGGUGUGUGAGCAUACUGACUUGUGCUCUUAAAAGAUACAAGGGACACACAACCGUGUCACCUGGCCGUGUGUCACACACAGAUGAGACACAUGCCCGUGUCUCUACCCGUGUAGAUGAAAAUAGGUCAUUUUCCAAGACACGUUUCUCACUCAAAAAUGACAUCAACCUACUCCCAAAAAUGCACAUAUAUGCUAGCUAUAAUCAAGCAUCCCAAAAAAACCAUAAGCAAACUUUAAACAUGUAAUAUAAUCACAUACAACCAACAUGUCCUUAGCACCUCAAAUGAUAAUUUAAAAACAUCCCAACCAUGUGUCCAAACUUACCUAAAUGACCAACUACAUAUAUGUACAAUUGUACCAAAACCUAUCAUGUAGAUCACUUAUCAAGCUCACCCAUUCUAUACCAAAUAUACAUUCUAAAUCAAUCAUCAAUUCUAAAUCAAUCAUCAAUAUACCUAUAAGUUUUUCCAUAACAAAGCACUAAAUCACACCAAGGUAUAUAACAUAUCUUAUAUGCAUAUUCAAACCACAUUUGACUUUCCAUCAUUCUACCAUAUCAAACACACAUCAAAUAUGAUAAGGCUACAUAUAUAUAUAAAUCAAAAUAUACCAAACACAAGCCAAAUAAGUGGCUAAUCUCAACAAAACACUUAUAUGCCAACAUUGGCCAAAUUAACCUAUACAUGUCAUUAUAACCGAAAUUAAAUAACCAAAAGUACCAAAAGAGUCGAUGGAUAGUGUGAUAUAGCUCCGACAAGCUUUCAACCCAAACGAGCUUUCGAAUCACUAUAAAACACGGAAAAUAACACAGAGUAAGCUUUUAAGCUUAGUAAGUUCGUAUAAUAGAGAAUUUAACUUACCAUUUUAAUCACAUUUAAGGUAAGCAUACAAAACAUAUCCAACUCAAUUUGGCCAAAAGCCUAAACAUAUAUCCUCAACAACCAUGUUAGUCAUGUAAUUCAUAUAGAAUCAAGAAACAUGUAUGAAUUCAAUAAUAAUCAAAACUUCAUAUACAUAUAAUUUCCACUUCAUAUGACUAUAUAUCAUGUACAAAUCAUUUUCAUAUAUCUCAUGUAAAUACCUGUAGUAGUUCAGAUUAAACUCAUGUAAUCUCGUAACAAAACAGUGUCCAUUGAACCAUUUAGAAUAUCUUUGGAUAUGCGGGUAGUACACACGAGGUGUACUAAACUGUAAUCCGUCAAUUCAUGUACAUGUAUGCUAAUACUAGCUAUAAACAGUAAGCUCUUUCGAGCUUAAUAAUGGUAAGCUCCUCCAAGAUGAAUAACGGUAAGCUCAUACGAGUUGAGUAUCGCUAAGCUCAUAAGAGCUGAAAUCGGUAACCCUAAUAACAUGUCAUUUGUAUCCUACAAAUUCCUGAGGUUCAAACGGGGCUCGGUAAUCGUCGUACGUCGUCAGAUAUGUGAUCGGUACUCAUAUAUGAUGGUAAUGCAAAUAAUAUACAUCUAAUUCAAUCAAAGCAUAUAAUUACACAAUUUAAUUACACGGACUUACCUCGACAAGUUUACGUAGAUACGAAGGUGACUAAUCCGAUAUUUUUCCUUUGCCUUGAUCUAACUUCGUACGAGGUCUAACCGAAUCUAUACGAAUGAAUUUAACUCCAUUCAAUAUAAUUCAUAUACAAUUUAGUCCAACACACAUUUUUGGUAAAAUUACCAUUUUACCCCUAUACUUUUAAUUCUUUGCAAUUUAGUCUCUAGGCUCGAAAAAUGAAAAUCAUUCAAUUUUCUCCCCACCCAAGCCUAUAAAUACUAUAUAAAUGCUUAUAGCAGCCCACAUAUUUCAAAAAUUCACAAUUUUACCCCACAAUUUAUCACAUUUUUCAGUUUAACUCCUAUUUGACAAUUUCACUAAAAAUUCAUUUACAAAAGUUGUUUACCCAACAAAAACCAUUCAUUUUCUAUCAUCAAACAUCAAAACUCAAGCAUGCUCAUCAAUGGAAAAACCCUAAUACUUUAACAGUUUCACAAAUUAGUCCCCGGGCUAGCUAGAUUAAGCUACAACGAUCCCGGAAACAUAGAAAUUAUCAAAAACGGGACAAACCACAUACCUAAUUGAUGGAAACAAGCUUGCCAAACCCUAAAGUGCAAAAAUGGAUUCUUUUUCCUUGGCUAUUCGGUUGAAGAAACAAAGAAACAUGAAAGCUUUUUAAUUUGUUUUAUUUGUUUUAUCAUUUAUUACUUAUUUACAAAAUUAACCUUAAUUAACCUUAAAAAUUACACUAAUGCCAAGCCAUGUACUUCCACUGUCACAUUUAAUGGUCUAAUUACCAUAUAAGGACCUCCACUUUAAAUUUUUAUACCUAUUAGACACCUUUAGCUAUUAGAACACAACUUUUGCACUUUACGCGAUUUAGUCCUUUUAUCAAAUUGAGCAUGUAAACAGUAAAAUUUCUUAACGAAAUUUUUAUACAGUAAUAGUAUCAUCCUCUAGACCAUAUAAUAAUAAUAAAAUAAAUUUUUUGGCUUCGUAUUUGUGGUCCCAAAACCACUGUUCCGAUUUCACUAAAAGCUGGUUGUUACAGGUUUAAUCAAGUUUUUCAUGAAUUAAAUUAAUACAUCUGUCUAUUUUCCUCAAUGGUUUUUUCAUGCAAAGCAAAAUGAAAGCAAAUAUUAGCUCACUGGUUGUCUAAUGUUUAACUAAUAUUAAGUGGUAUUACAUGGUCGAAUCAUAAUACAAACAAAUAACUUAUAUUAGUAAACGAACCUAAACAUGUCCCUAGUCUAAUUGGAAAUGAGCAAACCAAUUGAAAGACUAAUAUGUUGUCUAUCAAGUCCUAUUGGGGAGAUUCUUUUCCUUGGGCAUCAAAGCAAAUGACUCCCAAAAGAUAGAGACAUCGAUGUUACUGACUGGACUAAUAAUACAUCAAAUAAGACCUAAGUAGAAUAGAUCCUAAAUUCAUUUAUGGAUUUAUUCACUUGUGACGUUCACAACAUGACAUACCUUAAUCCUGAGUGGAUGGUGGAUUACGUAUGUGUGAUUCGUACACUUUAAUGUAAGUAAAAGUCCAAGUUUAAAUAGAUAAGGAAUCGAAAGUUGGUGUAUUGGGUAUACGAAUUUUGUAGUAUGUAGUAUCAUUCAGAAUAAUGGAAUUUAUAGCCCAAGACAUGGGUAAUAUCCUCUCAUUGGCAUUAGAUGAUAGAUGAAAAGUAAAUGUUGCCACGGGUUGUUCGUCUUUGUGAUGAAUGAUUUAAUUACUUUUUAUAGUAACUGAAUUUCCAAUAAGGAAGAUGUAAUGGUGACCAUGAGAUAAAAUAGGAUCAUAUUGGGAGAACGGAUUUAUCCCAAAUAGAUUAAGGAUAUCCUAUGAGGGUAACACACUUAUGAAAGGUCAUUAGACGAGCAUUAAUCAAGUAGCUUUUGUAGUGGAAUGUAAUUGGGGAGAGCUCAAAUACGAUACUAUAGUUGGAUGACUUCGUGACUAAAUGAGUUUAUAAUUAAUAGGCGAAAAGCUGGAACUUAAUUAUAAAUCAUUUAAGCCCAAAUCAGAUAUGUCCAAUCGGUCCCUCUGCUAGCUCGUUGAAACUAGAAAUGGAUUGCAUGUUGAAUCAAAUGAACAGAAAUGGAUGGAAAUGAUAAAAUUAGAUAAAAGGGUUACAUUCAGGAAUCAAUGUGGUUUCCCACUUGGUAUAGAAAUGACCUGAGAAUGAAUUUAAGUUUUUUUAAUUAUUAUUUAAUUAAAUAAUUUAUGUUCGAAAAUGGAAUCAAAUUAAUUGGUCAUUAUGAAAUCCAUUGAAUGCAAAAAUUAAAUAUAUUUUCUCAUGGAUUCUUUUAUAGUAAAGUUGUCAUAAUUUUAACGAGAUUAGAAUUGAGUUCAGAAAAAUAUUUAAUUUAAAAUUUUAUUUAAAUUAAUUUAAUAAAUAAUUUCUAUUUGGAUAAAUAGAAAAACAUGUAAUUGGUCAGAUUAAAUUAUAGAGUGUUGGGUUAAAAUUCCAAGAAGCACAUAUAAUUGGACUCAAUACAAGAGAUGCUCGAAUUCCAUCGUAAUACAUAUGAGGGGAAACACAUACUAUUAGCCUCUCUCUCUCUCUCCUAGUUCAACUAGGGGAUUUUUUUUUCUAUUAGAUAGACAUUAAAUGCAUUCUACUAAUUCAACGAUGAUAUCACUUCCUCUCCUUAUAAAUAGAUGGAAUCAGUAGGGCUAAAAAAAUAACGAGUUAUGUACAAAUAUGAGAUAUUUUUAUUCUUCCAGAAAGUAGUAGAAAUUUAUUUUCUAGAAUAAAUUUUAUUUUCUGGAAUAAAUUCUAUUUUCUAUGAAUAACAAUUUUACUAGUUUCUAUUAAAAGAGAUUUACUUUCCCACUGAAAAUAAAGAAAAUAUUUGUGGUUCUGCGUUUGAUUCAAAUUUGUUCGAACCCACACUUGAAGUAGUUCGUGCUAUGAGAAUAGCGGAGAAGAUCGUUUGGUUAAAAGCUAGGAACAUCCACGAUCCAUCUAGUCCAAAACACAGGUAUGAUUUCAAGAGAAAAUUAUUGCUAUAAAUAUCACAAAUUGGCUCGAUUUUCAAAAUUUUAUUUUUUCGCUACGUAAGAAAACCAUUUUUGAAUCGAAUUUUUUUGAAAAGGUUUUUCAUUGAAUUUUUUCUUCCCUAAGGUAAUGAAGUGUUAGUGUCACAACAGCCACAAUAGUUGGUGUUUUCCUCGAGGUUUGGCCAUAGUCAUCUUCCUAUACAAACUCCAAUCAACCAUCAUACACCCAAUGGCAUAAUUUUUCCAAUUUGGGCCUCAGAAGGAGUAAAAUGUACAAAAAAAAUUAUCAUUAACACUAAGAACUAAAAAUCAAUAAAAAGCAUUGAAAAGACUCAGAAAUUGCUUAAGAAAAAACUCAUCAAGUGUUCAAGCGAGCCUAAUUUGACGUAUCAAAUUACGGCAAAUCAAUAGCCAUAGUUAUCUUUUAUAUCCUCAUGAUUAGAAUUCCAAAUAUGAAAUUAUUAGCUAAGGGAUGGUCAACCGCUAAAAAUUCCACCAUUUACUUUGUUGUGUGUUGCUAGUUACCUAAUGUGAUCAGCAAAAGAAUAGAUCCCCAUACCUCUACCGACUAGUUGGUGAAACCGUAGAUAGGUCUCACCUUUUUAAGUAUUAACUCCUUUAUGCCUAUUUGUUUGAACGUUCUCUAGCGUAAUACUUCCAUUUUACUUCUAAUAUCUACUACUAUUCUUUCACUUGAAAAUAUGUUAUACUUGUUGUGAUUACUAAGGGAUUGUUUCCAUUUGCAUGUAAAAGUUCAUCUUCAACUGUUACAUCAAAUUUAACUUGACAUGACUUUGUAAAAUGAGGUUUCUUUAAUAGAGCAUUAAUGGACAUCAUACUCAUUCUAUAUGCCUUUCUCCUAGCAUUGGAUUUUUUUCAUUCUUCAUUAUUGUCAACAAUUACAUUUAGAACUCCGCUCACUGUUGUCUGCAACAUGCUCUAUACUUUUUGGGUUCUUAAGACAAGACUAAUUCUCAAUUACCAUACUCUCUAUUAUUUCUAUUGUGAGGGGAUUGAGCUAAAUACUCAACAUCUAUGAGUCGACUAAAUUCUAACUGACUCGAUUCCAUUAAUGGGGUCUUUCUAAAAUUCCUUUAUUUUUUAUCAAUUGAAAAUAUAAUACGGUGAAGCUGUGAGGGGAUAUAAGUUUCAAACUUGUUAUAAGGAGCUCAUUCAACCUUCUCAUGUUUCUGAUGAUGUUCUCUCUUGUCUCACUCUACUUUCUAACAUUAUGGAGAUUUGGCAAGGUUAGAGAAAUGUUUCCCCAUAACUGUAUGCCUAUGUUGGGGUUUUGCCUUCGAUGGUCAUAUAAUGGUGAGUUCCCCAAAAAUAAGUUGUUGUGACUUCGAGGCGAAGGUUUGGUGUAAGACUUGGAUGAUUGAGUGUUAACUCAAUAAAUUUCUCUAGUUUCUACAUACCUAUAUACCUUCUUAAAUAAAUUUGACAGUCUUUUUGGUUGGUCAUUUAUUAACAUGUACUUUAAAUGUCAUGUGCUACCCUUGCAAUGAACGUCUAUAUUUCUCAUUCAUCUAUCAACCCUUUCGUCUUCAUCAUUGCAAUAUCAAACAUGUGGGUUAACUCUUUAAAGAGUUUUCUUACUAAAAAAGAGGUAAGCUAGACUUUGAGGUAAUGUUUUGUUAGUGAGAAACUUACUCAUGAAUAAGUUUGUUAGCUUACUGAGGGAAUGUAUAGAGCAUUUUGGAAAAGAGAGAUUCAUUGUCGCUAGACAUACGAACGUUUGGACUGCAAAUACUGCAACAAAAAGAUAUAGAAUUGAACAGUGGUGUUCACAAGUAUACGGGUCAAGUUGUAAUAUAGUUUUGUUUACAACGAAACUUGGAAAGUAUUCUGAGGAUCGUACCCAAGGGAUUGUAUAUUGGAGAAAAUUACUAUUAAAUUAAUUUAAAAAAUAAGUAUUAAUCUAGUUGAGUUACGAAUUAGUAGUCUAAAUCCAAAAAAAUAAUAAAUUUAACUAAUUAAUUUAACCUAAACUAGAACUAACCCUAUAUUUACUAUCAGUUUCCCCUAUUCUUUGUUUUGACUAAGCGAGCCCCCUUAGCCUAGAAUCAAUUGUAACCCUAAUUAUUAAUUACUUCAACAAUUACCCUUAAUUAAGUAUUUACCACCCUUAGCUCGGAAGACCCUCUCAGCCUCAUCUUCACUAAGUAUUACCACCUAAGAUACCCUUUCAGUUUCACCGCUUGGUGUAAGUCCUACUCGACAAGAUACCCUCUCAGUUUCACCUGUCUAGAUUUUCUACUAGGGGUGUUACUUCCUAGUAUACUAAGUCCCUUGAAUAAACACUUAAUUUUAGGUUAUUAUUCAAUCAAUCAAUUAAUUAACGAAACAACCAAUUCAUGCAAGAUAAGUGCGAAGCACAAAAUAUAUUCAAAUAUUCAUACAAACAUUCAAUUAAAAGAUUUAAUGAAAGAAAUAUAAUAGAAGAAUAAGGAUAAGAGAAUUAUUAUGAAUUAACCGAUGAAAUAAUGUAAUUCCAGAACAUCCUCCACUCGUAAUUAUCUAACUUUGAAAUAGAAUCUUCCAAUUAAGCGAACAUAAUGAAAACUAAACUAAAACUAAAGAAAAUUAUGUAAACCAAUCUGUCUGUCUAGGUCGACUCCCCCUCUAAUGUGGUUAUAAUGUGACUUAUAUAGACUACAUUCAAGGUACUACAAGGUAUUAGGUGCCUAAAAUACCCUUGAAGCAAGUAGAAUUUAACUAGGAAACAAAACCCUAAUUAGCUAUCAAAAACAUGGCCCCCCUAGUCCAAGUUUUCGUUGCGUCAUCACGACGUCAAAGAACCCCUCAACGUAACAUUGUCUCUAUUUCAUCCCUAGUAGCUUCGAUGUUCGGUGUCGCGACAUUGCAUUCUAGUGUUGCGAUACUGAAGUUGUUCCUUGCAUUCUUUAACCUGAAAGAACAUCCUGCACACUUAAGUAGCAUAUUAGUCAUAGCCCUAGGCUCAAAUUGAACUAAAGGGUCAUCGAAACACCUAAAAAUGCAUAAAAAUGCUUAUUUUACCGAAAUUAAAAUUUUAAGACUAAAAUGUAAAACUAAUCAAAUUAACACUAAGUUAUGUCGAAAACAAGCUCAUUAAGUGACGAAAAUGACCUAAUUUGCCACCAUAAAUUUUAAAAAACAAAUUCCUUCAUAAUUUUUGGUAUUCUCUAAAAAAUUUUGUUAUUCCUUCGAAAUUCAUAAUUUCGGGUACACCUUCAUAAUUAUUGGUAAUCCCUCAUAAUUUUUAGUGUUCUCUCAUUAUUUUUGGUAUGCCAUCAAAAUUUUUGGUAUUUUUUCAAAGUAAGGUUUUGAUUUGAUAAAUCCAUUUUUUAUAUAAAAGAAAUAUUUUUGCAUACUAAUAAAUUUUGUUAUAUAUACUAAUAAAAUUUAAAAUAUAAAGGACCACCUUCAAACGUACUAACGUCUAGAGUGUAAAUCCUACAACCAAAUAUUAUUGUUAGGCGGUUUUCGCAAGUAUACAAGUCAGGUUGUAAUAUAGAUUUAUACAACGAAGUAUUGGAGUACUCUGAGGAUCAUACCUAAGGGAGGUGAAACUAAACUAAUUCUAACUUCUACGUUAAUAGAUCUAGUUAGUAAUUUAAUUAAACUAUAUUACGAUAGAUCCUAAGGUGAAGAAAAAUCAUAUUGUAGGAAAAUAAUUAAAAUGCAUGAAAAUAAAGACGAGAAACUAAUUUGUAGAGUUUAUCAAUUCUAAGGAGCGAAGAAUAACUUGCUUCGAUGAUCAUAGUUAACUCAUAUUUUGGGUUCUAUUCAAUUAACUAGUCAUUAACCUAGCAGGAUCUCCCGAUCUUCCACUAAAUUAAUGAAUCGUCAAUAACUACUUAUCUCUCGACCUUACAGUCCAGACCGGAAUUGGGGUAAGGUGUUCACUGAUAGGCAAUACCAAUUUUGGGUUCAUUCCCACCUAGAUGACUUCCUAGGGUUUCAAGCCUCGUGGUUUUAAGUUAUUCCUAUCUCAACCAAUUGAUCCGCUAAGAAACCCUACAUAGAAGUUAAUUACUCCCAAGUCCACUCAUUAAUCUCUCAUAAAAGGAUUAGCUCCUCAUGGAUCUCAUAAACAUUAUAAACUUGAUUGAAAAGAUAAACAUAAAUAAUAGAUCAAGAAUAAAGUUUAAGAAAAAUCAUGUUAUGUAUUGAUAAUUGCAAGAACAGAAAUCCACAAAGAGUUGAUGAAUCCACAAAUCGAGUUCCACGGCAAAAGAAAAUAAAAGCUAGAAUAAAGUUACAAAUAAAUAACCUAAGUACAAAAUAAACAAGAAAGAAACUGAAAAUAAAACUAAAUGAAAGUCAUAACCUAAAACUUGAAUAAAAUUGUCUAUGAAGUGUUUGAAGCCGUUUAUUUAUUGAAUUAGGGUUGGUAGUCGUCCAUUGACCUCAUUCGGCUAACACUUUUGCAUUAAAGUUUAUUGUGUGGGCCAAAACACCCUUGGCUCAUUAAUUCUCCUCGUCAAGGUGGUGUCACAACACCCCUUGGCCUGUGCCAGGACAUUGAUGGCAGUUUAUGAGCUGAGGCUUGACUAAAAUGUUGUGUCGCGACACCCUCUGGCUAUGUCACAACACUGAAAGCAGUUUGCUCCUUUUGAGUACUCUUCUCACUAUGACGUGACAUCGACACUCCAUGUUACAACAUAGCAGCCAACCUCGUGUUCUUAUGCCUCCAAAUGAUGCCCUGCACAUUCACUGAAUAAGUGCCUUCCUUGGGCCUAUUUUAGCCCAUAAAGUCAUAUAAAUGGCUCAAAUCACAGUUUUUAUUAUUGACGAACUAAAGAUAAAAAUUAAGUAAAAAAACUAUAUUGUUUUUAUACAAGCUCUUCAAGUGUGGAAAAAGUUUAAUCUGCUACAAUGAAUUGUGACAGAUCAAACUCUCCCACACUCUUGUCCUUAAGAAAGAAAACAUAAAAACAAAAAAUAUAAAAGAUGAUCCUUGAGCAAGUAUGAUACAAAAAUCAUUUCGAAAACACAUAAAUAAGAAAAAUCAUAAUUACAUGUAAUUCUUGUAUUAUAUUAAAUGACUUGCCAUUCUUAAUUUCAAAUAUCUAAGCUCAAUACAUUACAAAAUAUAUAAACAACAAGGCCCUCAAGUAUAUUUAUCCAUCGAUAAAUUACAAAGGUAAUUUGAUUAUCCUAGAAUAAUACAAACAGUUAUUAUUGUAAUCACUAAAUACAAUAUCCAUUCAGAAAUAGAUUUACCUAGGUCACAUAGGACUUUUUGGCUUGUAAUGUUUUAAGGCUUAAGGUUGGUAUGGAAUUCAAGAACAAGGAGCACCAAAAACGUUUCAAGCACGAAAUUAGUUUAGCAUAUUGUAUUGUCCCCUAUUCUCCCCCUUUAGUGACCCAGUCUCACUCACGACCUUAUUUCUCCUUCUCUCCCCUUCUUUAUUUCUUCAUGUUGGAAGUCACAACAUGAUAAAGUAACUAUGGUCAACUUAAGAGUUUUUUUGCACUAAUGAUUGAGUUUUCUAAUUUCAUGAAUUUUUUCUUUAGUCACUUUUGACUUUUUUUCAUCAUGUCUCACUCACACUGCUUUUUUUUCAUUAGUCAAGUACUUUUUCUACUCGUUUAGACUUAUUCUAAAUUUUUUUUUGUUUUGCACAUUUUAGAUAAACUUAUAAUCACUAUAUCACAUUGUUUCUUCUUAUUUCACUUUGAUUUUACAAAACCAUCGUUAUGUCUCUACCUAUCCCUUAAUAGGUAUGAUCUUAUGUCUAAGUUCGUGCAAUUCAAGGACCAAAGAAAGAGGGUAAGUACAAAUUUACAUUUUGGUUUUUGGUUUUUGGUUUUGUAUAAGGUUCAUCAAGAAAAUUUUUCUGGCUCAAAUAUGGGUACUAAAUAUUGAUGAGUAAGGUUGGCUUUUUGGCUCUAGGUUAUACCAAAUAAUGUCUUAAGUCAUCCCUAGGUAUCUUAAUAUUCACAAAUUUAAUUGAUCAAGCAAUUAAAAUUCUAACCAUUUAUCAUUCAUACUAGUAUGCUCGUUUCCCUAUAUUCUCCCUAUCAUCUAGUGUAUUCAAUUACUUAAUGCCUAUUUACAAUGUAAUAUAUAGAACUUAGUAGUCUAAUGAUUGAAAAUUUAAAAUCAUUCACUAUCAUGCCAAAUUUACAAUAAAUACAAUCAGCCUAUAUACAUGUUCCUAACCAAUCACUUGUAUUUCUACAAGCUUAAGCACACUUUUAACAAGAAAAAUAAAAUAAAAACAUAAAUUUUCUAUGUUACCCCACACACACACUUUAGAUAGAACAUUGUCCCUAAUGUGUAACCCCUAAGUAGAUAAGGAAUGAAGUUAUCGUGACAUUGUUGUGGUCUUAUGGUGGGUGCUUCCUUUCUUCUUCGUUUGCACUCGUAAUUGUAGUGCUCUCCUUUUAUAGAGUUCUUACAUAGAAAAUUUAGAAUAAAAACAUAUAUAUAAACUAUUGUUACUCCUCUCAAUCUAGAAUAAAAAAAAUAAAAACCAUCCUAAUUAAUUUUUUUACAAAACCAAAAAUUAAAAAUCAUCUUUUAAUCAUCAAAAUGGGGCGGUUGCCCCCUCCAUCGAAGCUUUCCCUUUGCCCGAUACGUGGCCUCGAGAGGAGCCUGCACCAACGAAUGUGCAUGCCAGGUUGGGCUACGAAUGACUGGCCCUUUUCUUCGUAGAUUGUUUCGACUGAAACGCCACCUCAUAGUCAUCAUCCUCCUCCUUUUGAGAGUCUCGUUUCAUAUCUUCCUCGUCCUCCUUGUCUUCAUUCUCACUCCUAUUAUCCUUUUCACUUCCCUACUCCUUGAGUCUAUGAUAGGUUGCAUGGGGCCAUAUUUGUUCGGUGGAAAAUUUGGUAUUCCCAUAGCAUUUUCUCGUAAAAACUCUUGUCCCACUGGGCCCAUUUCCUGUAUCCAUCUUAUCAUCAAUUUUGUAUAUGAGAUUUUGCUUCCCGUAGUCCUUUCCUGAGCUUUUGAUGUCUUCUUCCUUUUCAAAGAUGUCAGGGCAUGCAUCUUCUACUUUCUUUAUUAUUUUCAAUCCUUGAUUUUUUUCUCAAUGAAGCUUGACGUAUUGGGUAUACAUGGAAUCACUUAUUAAGCUUUUCAUCGGCCUCAUGAAUUACUUGUUUGUUUCCAUUGGAACCCCAGCCUUUUUGCAUAGCACUGUCAUUAGGUGAGGGAAGAAAACCCCAACCUUCUAAUUGCUUAUACAGUGUUUCUUGCUGUGAUAUAUCCAUCGGUCGAUGUAUAUCUACUUUUCCUAUAGAAUUCCAAACAACAAAAAUUGCUCGAAAAGUUUUUACAUUAGAAUGGCAGGUGUAAUUUUAGUGCAAAGAAAUUGCAUCCACAUUUUAGUUGUGGGAAACAUGAUUUCUUGAUUAAAUUUGCUUGGAAAUUCGGUAUCUGAUCAGUGGUUCCUUUCACCCCUCCCUUUGGUUAAGUAGUUUACAAUAUUAUCUAUAUUUAUAUCCUUAAAAUUAUCUAAAUCAAUAUUGUCAAGAAAACUAGCCUUGUAAUAUGAAACAUUGUAAAACUCACAAAUUUCUCUUGGACCCUUUCUCCCUAAAGGAUGCAUAGAACUCUUGGACUAUCGAGAGAACAAUGGGUUCUUUCGGGGUUACGUAAAAGCGUUCCCAUCUAUGAUACCGAACUAGCACCCAAAUUUCAUUGCAAAGAAUCAUUGAUGGUUCGAAACCCCUUUCUUGGAUGAAUGUUUUCCCUUAUAGUUCUAAAAAGUAUUUUUUAACAUUUGGGUUUUUAAAUUUCAAGAGUUUUGUGACCACCGGUGUUUCUUGUUCAUCGGUUCUUCUAGUUUUUCUAAGAGGCAUUUUCAAAUAUAUUCGACUAGAUGAAAAAAAUCAAGCAAUAUAUUUCUCAAAACAAUAUAAUGUAAUGGUAGAACUUGGAAAGAAACCCUUAACCUUAGUAUGCCGAAUGUUUGUUGUUCCUUAUGUUGUGAUAGAUCUUAGUGCUUGUGAAUCUAACCAAGAGAAAGCGUUAUUUAUUUAGGAGAAGAGGAAUAACCGAAGAUAAAUAGUGUCAUGGGUGACCCCGUUGAAUUUGAAAGUAUCACAAAGUUGGAGAAACCGCUUUAGAUGUUAACUUGGAACAUCCGUCGUUGUCCCUCUGAAUUGCAGAUUAUUUUGUAUCAUUUGGAUCAUAGCCAGUUUGAUCUGAGCAAAUGCCAGAUUAUGUGAAAUUUAUGAAAGACGUCCUAUCCAAAAAGAGAAGCCUUGGAGAGUUUCAAACUGUAGCAUUAACGAAGGAUUGCAAUACAUUCCUACAAGGCAAGCUGCCCUUAAAAAUGAAGAAUCCAAGGAGCUUUACCAUACCAUGAAACAUAGGAUAUUCUUAUUAUAGAAGGGCUUUAUGUGAUUUGGGAUCAAGUAUCAACUUGAUGCCAAUGUUUAUGCUUAAGCAACUGAGGACUGGUGAGGUCAAACCAACGACGGUCACACUCCAACUAGCGGAUAAGUCAUUGGCACAUCUUGAAGGAAAAAUCAAGGACAUACUAGUACAUGUCGAUAAAUUUAUCUUUCCUGCUAACUUCAUUGUGUUGGAUUUUGAGGUAGAUAAAGAAGUUCCUAUCAUUCUAGGGAGACCAUUCCUGACAACCAGAAGAACAUUGAUUGAUGUACAAAACGGUGAAUUUAGCAUGAAGCUUCAUGAUGACAUGGUAACUUUCAAUGUCUUUAAUGCUAUUAAAUCCCCUGAUGAGAUUAAAGAAUGCUAUGUUGUUUCCAAGAUGGAAUCUUUAGUCCCCCUAGAAUUGGAACGCAUGUUAUUAAGUGAUCCGAUAAAUGACGAUGAAGACAAUGAAUGUUCAGUUUUGUUAGAAGUAGAUUCGAAGGAAGUUAUUUUUAAAGAUCAGUUUAAUUCAUUAGAGUUAUCAUCAUAAUGAUUCAAGGCACUAAAAGCAUCUGUUGAAAAGCCAAAUGAAUCGAAAUUAAAUGAAGGGUGAAGGGGAUUGACUCAAUCUUGGGUAUUUGAUCCAAGAAAAAUCAAGUUUCAAUGGUUAGAGGUCAGAAUCAUUUAUCUCAAUUCCUACAGUCAUUGAGUAAGCCCUAUUGAACGUAGACUGGAAAUGAUGAAAUUACUACGAUUACAAAUGACGACAAUGAGUUGAUUUUGAUAAGAACUGACACGAAUUGGAUAAUUAGCAGGAAGCUAAACAAUGAUACCAAGAAAGAUCAUUUCUUGUUCCUUUUCCUUGAUCAAAUGUUGAAUAGAAUUGUUGGGCAAGAUUAUUUCUUCUUUAUUGAUGGGUAUGAUUGGUAUGACAAAUGGCCAUUUGACAUCGCCUUUUUCAUUGAUGAUCCUAAUGACAUUGAGGAAGUUUUCUUCACUUUCUUUGUCGUUAUUUUUUUUAAUUUUUUAUUUCAUUUGAAUAAAAUAGAAAACUUAGAUAAUUUUUUUCUUUGGAUCAUUACAUUAAUUUAAAUUCUAUCCAGGAGAUUGGGACUUAAGCGAAACCAUUUGUGACCCCUCCAAUUUUUCCUAAGAAUUUAAUUUAAUGUAAUUUUUCAAAAAAAAUAUUUUUUUAAGUAGCCCGAAAAAUUUGUUUUGUUAAAUAAAGGGUCAAUUUUUUACCCAAGUACUAAUUUCUUUGAGUUUUUUUCAGUUUACUUUCAAUACAAGUACUUAAGAUCCAAAAAGGUGUUGUCAUUGGACUUAAAACUCAAGACACUGCUAGAAAGGGAAAUAUCCAACCAUUUGCCACACACCCACAUCCAAAAGAACCUUGUUGCCUUACACAUUUGUAGCCACACAUACCAUCACUGUCACACAAACCUAUAGCCCUUACCUUGCCCCACCGCCACUCUCAAGUAGUCGCAUAAUGCAUCUCCCUUAACCCUUUAAUGUUGCAGCCCUUAACUCCCUAAAUCACUGCCCCAAACACCUUCAUUUGAAGAUUCUAGCCACCGCACCUAAACCAUCCUUAAAACCACUACCCCCUCCAUCUCUAAACCUUAUCGUCGGCUACUCACCCACCUACCAAAACCGAAAUCACCCUUAACAUAUUUUCUAACUCUGACGCUUAGAGUCCCUUCAACUAGCACCAUUCCAUGGAGUGAACAAUCAAAUAUAAUAGACAUUUUGCAAAACAUGCAAUGGCAACAACAGGCUUUUUGGAGAUACUCAAAAAUGCAAGAUGAUUCAUUCAGAAAUGAAUUUAAGAAAAUAGUUCAUAACCCAUUUGUUUUUGUGUUUGAAUUUCCAGAGUUUAUAUUUUAGCCAUGAAUUUCAAUGUCAAGGAAGGAACAAGAUGACUCAAGCAAGAACAAGAAUGAUGAAGCAAAAGAUAGGUCAGAUACUGAAGAGUUUGCAAAUAAAAAAAUGGGGGGUCUUUACUUUUCUUUUCUUUUUUUAGGAUACUUUAAAUUUUAGGAUUUUUCUUUUUAGUACUUUAUUUUAUCCUUUGCAUAAUAAAACAUUAAAUCGAAAGGAUUAAUAAAAUUAAGGAAGUUUUUCAUUAAUUAUUAAAGUUUUUGAAAAAUAAGAAGUGUAGUAAUAGGAAUAUACAUUACAUGUCUAGGAUUGGAUCUGUCAAGGAAAGGCAUGGUACUUGAGUAGUCAAAUUUGACUCACCUCCAUUUCCUGGGAUCCUACUUGGUGUAUUCACAUUCACCUCUUUGAUUUCAAACAAUGAGGACAUUGUUUAUCUUUAAAAAAGGGGACUAGAAAUUUAAUUUUUCUUUUUCUUCAAAAAUUUAUUUUUCCUAUCAAAUUAUAAUUAAGUAAAUUUUUCUCAAAAAUUAAAUUUUUUGUUUAACUAUGUUAGCUUUAGUAUGAAUAAAAUUCUAUUAUCUCAAUAAAUUUUUUGUCAGCUAAAUUAUGACAUAAACGUUGAUCUUAAUAAAAUGUAUAAGUUAAGCCAUGAAAUUUUUAAUUUCUUAGAAAAACUAAGCAUGCAUGAAAGUUUAAGUCUCUAGAAUUGGCUUAGUAAUUUCUUGAGGCUUAUUGAGGCAAAAUCUUAGGAGGCAUGGUAAUUUGAAAAUGAUUUAGGCAAAAUUUUGUUUGGACCGUUUGAACCUUUCAAGCCAACAUUAAUAAACAUUUAUCCCUUGAAACCCAACUUUGAGACUAUAUGGCCUAAUUUUAUUUUUAUUUUUUUUUGAACCUUUCAUUAACAAGCCAUCUUUUCUUUAAUAUUUAUCUUUAAACUGUCCCAAGCACUAGACUCUAUUUAUUUAGAUUUUUUUUUUUUUGAGAAUAAAUUUGGGGGAGUUAAAAAGAGGUACUAAAUGCUGAAAAAUGUUGAAGUACAUGUAGUAGUGUGCUCAAAAAUAUGCUUAAAAAAAAAGAGACCAUAUGUAAAGUGUACAAAGAGCAUAUGUACUCAGUAUUUGCAUUUCAAAGGCCUAAGGCACGCUGAGUCUAGGGUUUUUUUGUCUAAAAUUUAUCUAUCUUUUACCUACCCCUAGUCAAGCCACAUUACAACCAUAUUAAAGACCUAUUGAUUUAAAUUUUGUACUGACUACAUUAGUAGAGAGAAAUUGCUAAGCUCAACAUAUGAAAGCAUAAUUAAACUUAAUCAUUGCAACUUAGUUUUAGAUAAGGAAGUAAAAGUUAAUUGGUAUGAACUAAGUACAUAUUUAUUACAAGAAAGCAUUUAGUCUAUAUUCUUGCUAUCAUGAUAAUAAUUGAGAAUAAUUGAAUAAUCUGUAUACUCAAGUUGCAUUAUUACAGAAUUUUAUUCUUGAGCAUAAUUGUACUAAACUCAAAAUUGUGGGAAGAACGGAUUUUUGAAGGAAACUUUUCAAAAGUGAUUUUCUUGAAUUCUUUUGUGAUUUAAGCAUUACUCGGGAUGAGCAAUGAAUUAACUUUGGAAGUGUGGAAACAUUGAAAUGAAUAGACUUUUUCAACACCUUCUGAACAUUAUUUCAUGCAAAUUUCAAGUAUUUUUUAACGAAUUUUGUGCUUUCAUUAUAAAAUAAUUAAAUUGAACAUGAUUUAAGACCCAUCUUGAAUUUUAGUUAUUUUGAUAUUAAAUUUACAUAAUUCUGCCAAUUUUGAGCAACUUUGCAUAAUAGGAGCAAAAUCAGCUUGGAAGUCACCUUGGGAAGAUUUAAUUGUUGGGCAUCUUCGAAGUUUUAGCUGAUUAAUUAGCAUCCAUGGAUGCCCAGAAAAAUUAAUUUUGGACUCCUGCAAUGCAAUUGGCUCAGUUCUCAAUUAUGGUGAUUAAAUUGGACAGCUUUAUAUAGAGAAAGAGACCCAGAAAAUUCGGGACUGAUCCACAAGAGAGAGAGUAGUCCAAGUCGACCCAAUUUGCUGCCCAAAUCAGCUAUUUUAAGCUGAUUUUAACAAUUGUAAAAUAGCCCUAAACUUUUCCUCUUACCCGUUCCAACCUCUCCAUUUAUUAAGCUUUCACAUUCAAGCACCUAGCUAAUUAUAGCAAACCAUCUCAACCACUCUCCCUACUAUCAAGGGCCGAACAUGGGAAGGAAGAUUGGUUGCUAUUUUUAGCAAAUGUAAGCCCUCACAAAAAUAUCAUAAUCUAUUCUCUGUUUUCAAUAUUUCUCAAUGGCAUCUCUUGUAAAUCCCUCUUCUCUUCUUCUACUCAUCAACAGCCUUCCAACACCAUCAACUCAUCCUCAUCGAGUUCUCUAAGUUGCUGCACCCAAGCAGCAGCAAUGAGCACAAGGAAACCAUAAUGUGAAAUUAAAAGAAAACACAAACCAGUCACCAAGGAUUAAAAGAUUAUUAAACUUACAAUAUUGAUUUUUUUCAAGGUAAGGUGAGAUCACUGAGAAAAAAGGAUUUUAUGGAGAUGAAAAUAAUAUUUAGUGAUAUAAUUGUUAAAUAAAAGCAAGAAAAAGGUUUAACUAGGUAAUAUUUAUUCGUGGAGUUUUUAGGACUAUAUUAAAUAUUAAUUUUUUAAAAAAUAUAAAAGGAUUUUCUUUUUAUUUAAAUUAAUUUUAAAAUUUUUAAAAAUCUGAAUAAUAAUGACGUGGCUUUAAAAGAAAAAAGAUUAAAAGUUCCCAUUUAGGUAAUAAAGAUUUGAAAUAAAUCUAAAAAUCUAAUUUCAUAAUUUAAGUUCUAGCAACCUAAAGAGAAUCCUAAUAUCUAACUAAAAUGAAUGAGAACUUAUAAUUCUAAUUAAAUAUAAAAUAUAGAAACCUAAAAGAAACUUAAAAUAUCUUAAGUCAAUCCUAAAAUUUCUAAGGACUAACUACUAGAUAAAAUAGAUCCAAAAUCUUAUAACAUAAAUUUAAGCCUAACCUAUGUCCUAAAAACAUCAACAAUCAUCAUACUAGGAAUAUAUAUAUAUAUGUAUAUAAGAGCAAUAAUCAAGUAAAUUUAAUUCAACAUACCAAUAUCAUGAUAAUAAAAUAUGCAUGGUAAAUUCUGUAAAAAGAAUAAAUAAAAUGAAAUGAGACCCUAAAAACCCAAAUUAAAACAAAGGUAAUGUUUGGAUUAAUGGAAUAAACAAAAUGAAUAAGGAAAAGUACUAUGGAAACAAGAUAAAAAUAAAUGAAAGGAAAGUAAUAAAUAAAAUGAAAUAUGACUAAAGAUAAAUCUUUUUUUCCUUAAAUUAGGGAAAUGUCGAAACGGAGGGACUAAAGGAGCAAUUAAUUUGCUCACAUUUUUUAAAAUCAAGAUUAAAUUGUAUCGACUUUCAAAAACAAAAAGGCAGAAGCCCUAAAAGGGUAAACUCAGGCACGUGAGGGACUGGGCUGCAAACUUUUCAUCCCCCACUAUAUAAGUCAAAAAAUAAGAAAAGAACCUUUUGAUUUUCAUUUUUCUGAAAUUUAGUUUUAUACUCCCGUUUCCUCUUUUUUGUCUCUCGGGCAGCUCCGCCGCUGGAGAAUCCAAGGUUCUUCGGUUUCCAGCGGCGGAGCACCACACGUUGUGAUCGGAGACUAAAAAACUUAUUGUUUUUUUUCUUCUUCAUUUUUGUUUUUCUUCGUUUCUGGGUUUCAAACUAGAAAAGCCUCGUAGGGGAAAAUGGAAAAAAGAACUUGAAAAUUUUCCCUUUUUUUCGAUAAGGGUUCUCCGUUCCAGAUCUACGAAAUAAAAAAAGGGGGAAAAAGGAAAGGAAAGGAAGCUGGAAGGAAUAAACGCAUGGAUUCACCAAACAGUCUUAGAACCGAGGACUUAGUUCGGUGAAAGCCCUUCAUCGGAGCUCACCACCAUUUGUUUAUGCAUGCACGUGAAAGUAAACGGCAGUGGAGCAAGGCCGAGGGUCUACCUUUAACGGCGUGUUCAGGGGCUUCUCUUUUUUCAAGGGCUUUUUUUUUUUUUGUUUUUUCUUGCAGGUUAUUCCGCUUUUUAAUACUCGUAUUAUUGUUAAUCUCCCAUAUGCUUCUUUGUGUUUGUGGUUCUUUCAUUGUUUUACCCUUCUUGCUUGUAUUCACACCUGCGACACUAAUGUGGGCGUUUGGGCUCCGUUGCUGGGUUGGGUCAGACCCAAAUUUAACUUAAUUGGACUCUGAUCCUAAUUUAGGCUUGACUAGUAAAGUGGACCUGAAAUCAAAUUUUAGGCCUUUAAACAAACGGGCCUUUGAAUUCUUCUCAUUUUUUAUAAAAAGAAAGAAUUUGGACUCUUCAGUGAUAAACCAAUUUGGAAGUUGAUUGAGCCUUGAAGUGGGUUAAAAAUUUAUCAGCAAGCUCAAUUAGAUUCAAAUAUGGGCUUGUAAAACUGAUUUGGAUUCACAGUAAGUUUUAAAUCAACCGGGCUCAAAUCUUUGGGUUUUUUUACUUAACACAUUUCAAUAUUAAGCCCAAUAAUAAUAAUAAUAAUGGCUUGAAAAUUAUUUUCAUUUAUUUAAAAUUUCCCUCUCUUUAAUUUGAUGAUUUUUCAAAAUAAAUUUAAAUUUUUGUUAUGAUUUUUCAAAAAUAAAUUUUAAUUUUGGUCUCAACUUAAUCAUGACGGUUGGUAUCAAAGUUAAGGUUGCGAAGGUGUCAUUGAGAUGUCGAAAGGAGCAGACAAGUAGAAUGUUUCGAUGGAGACCCAUAGGAGGUCCAAGAAACAAAGCAGAUCCAGAGAUAUGUUGUUGUCUUUGGAAAGUCGUGUGGUCAAUCCAAAUGAAUCCACAGGGAAAGUGAAGGAAAUACUUGAGGUAGUGGAGACACACAUUAAUGAGUUAGAUCCAAUGAAAGAGCAGUUCAAGGAAUAUGUGUCGAAUGCCUUUAGUUCCAAUAUAAACGCAGUGGAUACGCCCCUCAAUACUACUGUGAGUAAGCCGACAGAGAAAAUGAUGCUCUUGAAUAUGGGAUAACAGCUAUAAAGGAAGAAAACGAAGCCACAAUGACGGAUUUGAAUGCAAAAAUCAAGGAGCUCAAGGGAAAGCUUACUGUGUGCAAAGUUGUGGGUAAAGGGGUGUUGAGUGCAAUAUUAAACUAAGAGAUUGAUGUCCCCAAACCAUAGAAGUUUAAGGGGACAAGGUUCGCGAGAGAAGUAAACAAUUUCUUAUGGGAGAUGGAGCAAUACUUUCAUGCUGUGGGCAUCAAGAAUGACGAUGCUAAGGUAAAUACUAUUGCUCGAUAUUUUACUAAUUUUGCUCUUAUUUGGUGGAGGCGUAGGUCCACAAAUGAAAAGCAUGGUCAGGCUGCAAUUAGGACUUAGGAAGAAUUCUAGAAUGAAUUUAAUGAGCAGUUUUACCCUUAAUAUAUCGAGAAGGAGGCUUGGGCUAAGUUGGAUCGAUUUUCGCAAAAAGGCACAAUUCAGGAGUAUGUAAAGGAGUUCAGCGAACUCAUGCUCCAAAUUACAGAUUUGAUUAAGAAAAAGGCAUUCUUCUUUUUCAUAGAUUCCUCCCAUUGGGAGAAAAAAAGAGAAAAGGCAUCCCUUUGCCUUGUUAAUAUCUUAUUGUUCUUCAGAUGUGAAAUGUCUGAUUAAAUAGUACAUAAUGAAGCAUGAUUUUAUUCCGUUUGUCCAUUAUGUUUUGGAGUGUUCUGGUGUUUCUAAAACUUGACGUCACUUUGUUGAAGCAUGAUUAAGAAAGAGGCAUUCUUCUUUUUCAUAGAUGGGUUGAAGUCGUGUGUUAAACAAGAAUUAGAAUGUCGAGGGGUCCAAGAAUUGUCGAAAGUCAUGAUCGUGGUAGAAUCUUUAAUCAAGUUGUUUCCAAGGAAAGACAAGUUCAAGUCUUCUAAGCCUAAAGGGAAGAGCAGUGAUGGGGAAGAUAAAGAUGGACAGAUUAAGUUUAGUAACGGUAAUGGUGGCAUAGUGGUAAUGGAAAACCAAAAAAUGGGAAGAGGAAACCUAAAAGUCAUGGAAAAAUAAAAAAAAAUGGCUAUUGAAAUGAUUCAUUUAUAAAGGUCUGCAUAUGGUGAGGGACUGUCCGAAGUGAUUUGUGUUUUUUGCCAUCAGAGACGAUAACAAGCCAGAAAAAGCUUCAAUAAGACUUGGUUCGAUUGUGCGUGGGGUUGAAACCAAGAAGGGCAAUAAGAAUGAGAAGAAGCCAAUGAAGUGUUUCUUAUGUUGUGGUCUGCAUAAGAUACGGGACUAUCCAGAGAGAUCUAAACUGUCCGCAAUCACUAAAGAAGUUGAAGCGGAGCUUGUUGAGGAUAAGGUUGUGACAGCCCAAAAUUGACCCUAGUCGGGAAGUGGUUUCGGGACCACAAAACCGAGUCUUAUAAAUAAUUAAAGAUUAUAUUCUGUGUUUAUGAUGUGCGUAAAUGCUUGUGUGAUAGUUCCAUACUUUAAUUUGGUCAGUGUAUGUGGAAUUUAUUAGUAGAGACUUAUGUGAGACAAUUUAGAAAUAUGCUAGGCAAGUGUUCAAGUGGCCCAUUAAUAUAUGUGGGAAAGUGUUUGUCCUUGCAUGUCAAAUUAGCCAAAUUAAAGCAUAGUGGCUGGCCAUGCUAUAGGUGGAAACAUGUCACCAACAUGUUAUGCUAGUGAUGUAUGCUAAGAAAAAUAAAAUAAAGAGCAUGGUAAUUAAACAAUGAAAAGGAAGGGUGAUGAAAAAAAAAAUGGUCUCAUCCAUACCCCCCCCUUGUUGCCGUGAGUUGAGGAAAGAAAACAAAAAAAAAAUGUGUUCAUUCUUGAACACCUUUGGCCGAAUAGAGGAAAGAAAGGAAGGGGAAGAGCUUGAGAAAAUCGGCUAUGGUGGUUUGCUAGACUAAGGUAUGUUUGAUGUUGUUCUUGAGAUGCAUGCAUGUUUUAGUAGUUGACUUGAGUUCUAAAAACCCAUGGUUCAAUUUUGUGGAUUGAUGAUGAUUUUGUGUUUUGCCAUUGAUGAGUGCUUGAGCUUUUUGAUAGUUGUUGAUGAAAAGUGAAAGAUAUGUUAAAGAUUAAUAUGUUAAAUUAAGGCUUGGUAAGCUAGCUAUUAAGGUGAAAUGCUAAUGUUAGUAUUUGAUUUGGUAAUAAUCUGUUUGGGGACAGCAGCAGUAAGGUGAUUUUGGAAAAUCGCCAUAAUUUGUAGGAGUUGAAUUAGAAGCUGAGUGAAUUAUGCCAUUAAAGCUUGAAGAGUCUAUUUUCUUACAAAAGAAACUAUAAAAACAAAAGAGUUACCGAUCUUGAGAUAUUUGAAGUUGUUGACACCAUUUUUUUGGAUGAAAAACGGGGUCAAUUUGGAUUUUGAAAAUGAAAACAAAAAUAGGGAGUCGCCACCAAUCUCUUUUUUUAUGAGGUGUGAUUGGAUCACCUCAAAAAUAAGGUUGUUUUUAAUAAAUGAUUUGAUUUUAUUAAAACAACGGUUUCGGUCCACGAAAUCUAGAAAACGGGUUCGGGAGUCGGUUACGCACGAGGAAGGAUUAGCACCCUCGAUACGCCCAAAAUUGGUACCUAGUUGAUUACUUAAUGUCUUAAUGUCAAAAAUUGAGAACCUUGAAGAAUUUUAAAAAUACGAUCCUUGUAUUAAAACGUUGAAAAUUUUCAGGAAAAAGGGGAUAUUUCACGUUAUUCGAGAAAGAGAAUCAUAUCUAGUAAGUUAGGACACAAUGUCUCAAAUUCCCGAUACGCGGAUGAAAAAUGCUUAUUUAAAAGAUAUUUUAUUAUCUUGGUUUUAGAAAUAAAUCAGGCCCAGUAAGUUAGGGCACGAUCUUUUCUUAAUUCCCAAUGUUGUUUAAAACUUGAGUUUGAAAAGAUUCGUAUAAUAAAGUUUAAAAGAAUAUUCAAUUGUUUAAAUCAAAUGAAGAAAUCGCAACCCAAUACGUUAGGGCACAAUUUUUCAAAAUAUUAAACAUUGAAUAUUGUAUUUAUUUCGAAAAAUCCUCGUCUCGAGAAAACAACAUGUCACAUCCAAUGCGUUAGGACACAACAUAUUGAAUUCUCGAUAACGAGCUUUUUAUCAUUUUUAAAAAGAGUAAUCUCGAUUAUUUAAAUUCAACGAAAAAAGUCAGAACCCAAUACGUUAGCGCUCGAUUCUCUCGAAGAUCCAAAAUACCGAAUAUUACUUAUUUUUAAAAUUUUUCAUUUUUUGAUAAAUUCGAGUAAAAAAAAUAGAAGCAAAAUAAUGAUAAUGAUGACAAUGUAAAUGAGAUAAUACAAGCACAACUAAAAUGAGCACCAAGUAAAAUACGUAAUAAACAAAUCAAAGAUACAUGAAAUAAUAAAUGAAUAAAAAAUCUAAAGCGUUCCAUAAAAAUAAUAAACGCUUCAAUAAAUGAAUAAAUAAAUAUCAAAUAUAACAAUGAUAACAAUACGAAUUAUAAAAAUGAAAUAUUUAUGUAUGUGCAUCUAUAUAUUUAAAUUAUAAAUUAUAUGAGGGUAUAUACAUAUAUAUAUAUAUACAUAAAAAAACAAAUAUGCAUAUCUAUGUAUAUAUAUAUAAAAAUUAUAAAGCAUAAAAAACAUAAAUAUAUACAUAUAUGUAAAAACGUAUGUUAAUGUAUGUAUAUAUAUAACAAAAUAUGAAAAAUGGUAUAAAUAAAUAAAUAAAAUGCAAUAAUAAUAAUGAUAAUAAUAAUAAUAAUAAAUUCAAUAAUAAAUAAAAUGACAGGAUUGAACUGAAAACAAAACAAAAUGCCAGGGGAGAAAUCAAAAUAAAAUAAGGCCAAAGAUCGAUUUGCGAUGCGCGCAGAAGAAGGGGGAUCGAUUGAGCAAUUUUCCCCAACCUUAUGCGCAGUGCUCCACGCUGGACUAAAUCGAAACGCAUAAAAAGCAAAUAGCCAAAUUUAAAAUUUUGAAUGGGACCAGAUCGCGCCAUAUUGCAUGAACGGAGGGACCGGAUGUGCAAAUAGUCCCUCCGAGCCAGAACGCGCGGAUCUUAGACCCGUUCGGGACGGGUUUUCGGGUCCUAUAAAAAUAAAAAGAAAGAAAAAAAAAACUAAAUCAUUCAUCAUUUAAAAAAACAGAGACACCCUCUGGUUCUCUCUCCCUGCCUCAGCCCUUAAACCCAGGCCACCGUCUCCGCCUCCAUGGCCAGUGGCCGGAGUUACGCGAGAACGGCCCCUUUGCCUUCCCCUUUUGAAGCGUCCCCGAAGGUUAAGCCUUCUUAANNNNNNNNNNNNNNNNNNNNNNNNNNNNNNNNNNNNNNNNNNNNNNNNNNNNNNNNNNNNNNNNNNNNNNNNNNNNNNNNNNNNNNNNNNNNNNNNNNNNNNNNNNNNNNNNNNNNNNNNNNNNNNNNNNNNNNNNNNNNNNNNNNNNNNNNNNNNNNNNNNNNNNNNNNNNNNNNNNNNNNNNNNNNNNNNNNNNNNNNNNNNNNNNNNNNNNNNNNNNNNNNNNNNNNNNNNNNNNNNNNNNNNNNNNNNNNNNNNNNNNNNNNNNNNNNNNNNNNNNNNNNNNNNNNNNNNNNNNNNNNNNNNNNNNNNNNNNNNNNNNNNNNNNNNNNNNNNNNNNNNNNNNNNNNNNNNNNNNNNNNNNNNNNNNNNNNNNNNNNNNNNNNNNNNNNNNNNNNNNNNNNNNNNNNNNNNNNNNNNNNNNNNNNNNNNNNNNNNNNNNNNNNNNNNNNNNNNNNNNNNNNNNNNNNNNNNNNNNNNNNNNNNNNNNNNNNNNNNNNACUUAAGCUCAAGAGCAAAAGGGAACUAGAUCCGAUAAAGGCAAAGAAAAGAUCACUGAGUAGUCGAGUUGGAACCGUCUUACCCAACACAAGGUAAGUCAUUAAGCAUGUAGUUGGUAUUAUUUCAAAUGGUCAUAAUGUUUAUGUAUUGAUGCUGAAUGGAAUGAAUAAAUAUACAUAUAUAUAUAUGCAUGUACGUAUGUGAUGAUGAAAUUGUUGAAUGAAAAGAAAAGAGGUAAGAUGUACUGAGUUGUUGAUCUCGGCACUAAACGUGCGGGUAUAACCAUUUAUGACCAUGAGAUUGGCGCUAAGUGCGCGGGAUUAAAUUGUACAGCACUAAGUGUGCGAUUUGACUAUGUUGCACUAAGUGUGCGAAAUGAAUAUGAUGCACUAAGUGUGCGAAUUGACCAUGCGGCACUAAGUGUGCGAGUUUGACUAUGUAGCACUAAGUGUGCGAUUUGAUUACGUAGCACUAAGUGUGCGAGUUGAUUAUAUAGCACUGAGUGUGCGGACUCAAUAUGCAUUCGUGAAUCAUUAUGGACACUAUGUUUGCGACACUAUUGAGUCGAUCGCGGACAGCGGAUCGGGUAAGUGUCUUGAGUACAUGGCUAAUAGGUGCUAUGCUUAUACUUGGUGUUGAGCUCGGUAAGUUUGAACCUAUGUGACAACCAUACUUGAAGUCACGUACAUAAAAUUUAUCGUAGGAUGGGUGAAAGGCCGUUUAGUCGUUUGAUUGUAACGAAAAUAAAUUGAUUUAUGAAAAUGCUUCAAUGUCCUAUUGAUGAGUAUAUGGAAUGUGAAUGCAUGAAUUGAUAUGAAAUUGAAUCGAUAGGUUGGAGGAACUAUGGUAUGGUUCGGAAUGGAUGGAGUAAUUAGCCUCGUUCCAUUUUGUUUUCUCUUGUGAUAAUGUUAUUGAUGGAUGGUAGUGCAUAGCUUAUGACUUACUGAGUUAUAAACUCACUCGGUGUUUCCUUGUCACCCAUUAUAGGUUGCUUGGACUAUCUAUUUUUGCGGGGUCAGGCCGUCAUCGAAGUCAUCACACCGGAUAGCAAGUUUUGGUACUUUCUUCUUAGUUGGCUUAGAAGAACAUUUUGGCAUGUAUAAGCUAUUACGUUGUGUUUGAACUUUGGCAUGUAAACUUUAAGCCAUGCGAAAAUGGAACGAAUGUUCGAUUGAGUUGGAUCAAGGGU